GAGCACAAGGACUGAGAUGUAUCUCUCCUUACUUACCGUGGCAAUUUUGCAAUGGGCUUGACAACAACAGGUCGUCACUUGUGCAUUAAGAGAAAGGGUGUCGAUGCUACACCCACAUCCCUUCACCUGUGUAGAAGGCAAAUGGGGCUUGUAGUGGUACAAUGUGAAUAUGUGCUGCCAUCCGAGUAAGGGUGGGCAGCUAUUGCCUGCCUCCAUGGUAUCAUGAAGACGCCUGUUGAUUGGCCUUGUAUAGAGGUGGUGUGGCUAACCUCAGAUCUCGCACAUGGAUACUUGCCUUAAGAACUAUGUAUGCUUUCUAUAUAGUUUUGAUGUUAUUAUUACAGAAAAUGAUGUAGGUAAUGUUGCUUGGCAAUAGCUUGUGGUUCUUGGUGGAAAGUGAGGUUUUAUUGGGCUGUUAAAUCAUUUGGUGUAACUAUGGCUUGGUUCAGCUAUUGAAGGCUGAUUGGUGUGUGGUUGAUUUUUAACCUGUGAUAUCCUGAGGCUUUUGGUUUUGACAUCUGAAAUCGACCCCAACGUGGUUAGUUGGGGAUCCUUUAUUUUAUGAAGUGAUUGUUCAUAUAUUCGUGAUGAUACUGGAGGUGUAUAUGGGCACCUUGUAGGACAACGUUAACUGGUCUGGGUACUUCUAAGCUUGGCCUACUUGCUGUGAUUUAUAACCACACAUGUUGCCUAAGUAUCCUUCCCUGAUUAGCCGGUUGCCACAUGUGUCAAUGGCCUCUCCCGAUGUAUUUGCUAUGUGCAAGGGUAAAUACCAAUCAUUCAAUCUAUGAAAGACCAUUGUUUUCUUUACACAUCCGUUCGGUUCUCAUGAAAUCGACUCUCAUUUGUGUUUGGUUCUCAUGAAAUCGAUUCUCAUUUGUGUUCAACACGUUACUAGCAUCUGUGAUGUUGGUCGAUUAUUUUAAUGGCUGCGUGCGUGCAUCAUAACUUUGGUAUUGCGGCUCUAAUUAAAACUAUGGGAGAACCCUUGCUUAUGGUUUGAUAUCUUUGUUGUUUUCCUAUGGUUGUCUUUAGAAAAGUAUAUUUCCUAUGAUUGUGUCAUGGAAGAAGAAAGAGUUUGAAGAUCUCGAAGAUUUGCUCGUUUCUUUUAGACUUCAUUUUGUAAUAGUUGUAGUCAGCUCAAGUAUCUCUAUCAUGUACAAUUUGGUACUAUAAAUAUAUAAUAUAAAUAUAUCAUUGGCAUUGAUUGUAAAAAAAAGAAAGCAUAUUCUAUCUAUUGGGAGCAAUGCAAGAACUUGAGAAGGCACCCUCAACUAAGACUAGAGGCACUAUGUUCGAGUAACUUACUUUCAACUCCGUUUAUGAAAAAUAUCACUGUAGACGAAAGGGAUUAUUGCAUUAACCACAAAUUAGACGAAGAAAUGAAAUGGCCUAAUGAAAAUUACCGUUUGUUUGAACCAAGAGAUGAAACCGGGAUAGCUGCCUCCAUGCUUUGCCACAAGCUCAUAUUCUUCGAUGAAAUCCUUUUGAAUCACCGCUUCAUACAAGAAUUUGGCGAUGUAUCGAUUGUAUCAAAUUUAUCCGGGAAUAAGAGCAGUUCAAAGGAAUUAGAAGUUGCGAAACAAUGUACCGAGAACUUAAUCGAUGUACGGCUGCAUUUCUGUUAGGUUGGUGAAGAUAUACAACGAAAUGAUCUGCCAUUCUUCGAAAUCCAACGUGCGAGAUCCCCUUUGAAUAUGCUGAGGUUGGAUCCACCCUUUUUAGGGUCGUCAGCAUUUUAGCGAGGCUUCAGAUUAUGCAAAUGACGAUUUUUGGCUUCGUAGUGUGCUGUCACGCAGUUUGCCGCCUCCUCAGUAAUGAAUGCCUCAGCCGUCGAUGCUUCAAUUCUACGUUUAUUUUUUCAUUUUGCUCGUAGCGUCUUCUGCAUCCUCUCAGUUGCGUAGCACCAACAAUUUUUCACGCCCCCCCAAUCUUGCCUUGGUUGGGAGAUGCAAAAUCAAGUGCUACAUUGGAUUAAAGAAGCCACGCGGAAAGAUCUUCUCUAACUUGCAGAUCAACUCCGACGCCAACUCUUCCAUUUCUUCUAGCAGGCCAGGCGAUAGUUUUUUCGCACAAAGAACAUGGAAGAAAUAGCUCAGCUCCGCCAGUACUAGCCAUUCAUCAUGCAACAUCACCGGCAUUACCCGCUCAAUUCAUAUGUGCCAAUCAUGACUCUUGAGACCAAAUAUUUUCAAUUUAUCAAGACCUGCUCCCCUCUUUAGGUUCACUGCAUACCCAUCAGGGAACAUCAACUGCUGUUGCACCCCCAAGAUAAUUUCCCUCAUAGCUGGCCUUCCAAGAUUGAACCAUGCCUUUGGCUUCGUCCAGUUCUGCUUUCCUUUCGGUUCUUGCAUGUUUUGUAACGGUCUAUCACAUAGCGCCUCCAGAUCGACUCUAGCCUUAGUAUUAUCCUUUGACUUCUCGUCUAUGCCGAACAAUGUACCGAAAAGUGCCUCGGCAAUAUUCUUUUCAGUGUGCAUCACGUCGAUGUUGUGUGGGCAAAGGAGGUCUUUGAAGUAAGGCAGAUCCCACAAGCAUGUCUUGUGAGUCCAGGCGUGUUUCGAAUUAUACCCCUUGAAAUACCCUGAACGCUUUGGAUCUGGCUCGAGAGCGUUUAACCGAUCCAGGUUCUAUUGGCCUGUCAAUGCAGGUGGUGCAAAGUUUUUGAAAACUCUACUUUUGAUGAAGUUCUUCUUGUCUUUCCUGAACUUAUGGUGAGGAUCAAGAAACUGUCUAUGCACGUCGAAGCAAGAAAACUUGCGACCGGCCUGAAGCCAACGAAACUCAAGAGCUCCCUUACAUGUGGGGCAUGGGAACCAUCCAUGCACAUGUUGGGGAUCGUAGCAGAAAUUAAAAAAUUUCUACGCAUCACCAAUAUCAAUCUAUGGAGUUUACUAGCAACGAGAGGGGAGUGCAUCUUCAUACCUUUGAAGAUUGCGAUGCGGGAGCGUUGCAAGAACGCGGUCGGUGGAGUCGUACACGAAGCGAUUCAGAUCGCGGCCGAUUCUGAUCUAAGCACCGAACAACGGUGCCUCCGCGUUCAACACAGGUGCAACCCGGUGACGUCUCCCGCACCUUGAUCCAGCAAGGAGAGAGGGAGAGGUUGGGGAAGACUCCGUCCAGCAGCAGCACGACAGCAUGGUGGUGGUGGAGGAGCGUGGCACUCCAGCAGGGCUUCGCCAAGCACUGCGAGAGACGAGGAGGGAGAGGGGUAGGGCUGCGCCAGGAGAAGGGGUGCGGUUGCCCUCCCACCCCCACUAUUUAUAGGGGAAGGGGAGAGGGGGCCGGCCCCCUAGAUCCAGUGACUGAAACUGGACUUCCCAUAUAUAAAUCUUUACCUCCGGACCAUUUCGGAACUCCUCGUGACAUCCAGGAUCUCAUCCGGGACUCCGAACAACAUUCGGUAACCACGUACAUCUAUUCCCUAUAACCCUAGCAUCAUCGAACCUUAAGUGUGCAGACCCUACGGGUUCGGGAGGCAUGCAGACAUGACUGAGACAUCUCUCCAGCCAAUAGCCAACAGCGGGGUCUGGAUACCCAUGUUAGCUCCCACAUGCUCCAUGAUGAUCUCAUUGGAUGAACCACGAUGUCAAGGAUUCAAUCAAUCCCGUAUACGAUUCCCUUUGUCUACCAGUAUAACACUUGCCCGAGAUUCGAUCGUCGGUAUACCGAUACCUUGUUCAAUCUCAUUACGGCAAAUCUCUUUACUCGUUCUGUAACACAUCAUCCCGUGAUCAACUCCUUGAUCACACUGAGCUCAUUAUGAUGAUGUCCUACUGAGUGGGCCCAGAGAUACCUCUCCGUCAUACGGAGUGACAAAUCCCAGUCUCGAUUCGUGCCAACCCAACAGAUACUUUCGGGGAUUCCCGCAGUGUACCUUUAUAGCCACCCAGUUACGUUGUGACGUUUGGCACACCCAAUGUACUCCUACGGUAUCCGGGAGUUGCACAAUCUCAUGGUCUAAGGAAAAAGAUACUUGACAUUAGAAAAGCUUUAGCAGACGAACUACACAAUCUUGUGCUAUGCUUAGGAUUGGGUCUUGUCCAUCACAUCAUUCUCCUAAUGAUGUGAUCCCAUUAUCAAUGACAUCCAAUGUCCAUGGUUAGGAAACCGUAACCAACUAUUGAUCAACGAGCUAGUCAACUAGAGGCUCACUAGGGACAUGUUGGGGCCUAUGUAUUCACACAUGUAUUAUGAUUUCCGGAUAACGCAAUUAUAUCAUGAACAAUAGACAAUUAUCAUGAACAAGGAAAUAUAAUAAUAACCAUUUUAUUAUUGCCUCUAGUGCAUAUUUCCAAUAGUCUCCCACUUGCACUAGAGUCAAUAACCUAGUUACAUUGUGAUGAAUCAAACACCCAUAGAGUUCUGGUGUUGAUCAUGUUUUGCAUGUGGAAGAGGUUUAGUCAAUGGAUCUGCAACAUUCAGGUUCGUAUGCACUUUACAAAUCUCUAUGUCUCCAUCUUGAACAUUUUCACGAAUGGAGUUGAAGCGACGCUUGAUAUGCCUGGUCUUCUUGUGAAACCUGGGCUCCUUGGCAAGGGCAAUAGCUCCAGUGUUGUCACAGAAGAGAGUCAUCAGGCCCGACGCAUUGGGAAUAACUCCUAGGUCGGUAAUGAACUCCUUCAUCCAGAUUGCUUCAUGUGCUGCCUCCGAGGCUGCCAUGUACUCCGCUUCACAUGUAGAUCUCGCCACGACACUUUGCUUGCAACUGCACCAGCUGAUUGCCCCACCAUUCAAAAUAUACACGUAUCCGGUCUGUGACUUGGAGUCAUCCAGAUCUGUGUUGAAACUAGCAUCGACGUAACCCUUUACGACGAGCUCUUCGUCACCUCCAUAAACGAGAAACAUAUCCUUAGUCCUUUCCAAGUACUUCAGGAUAUUCUUGACCACUGUCCAGUGUUCCAUGCCGGGAUUACUUUGGUACCUUCCUACCAAACUUACGGCAAGGUUUACAUCAGGUCUGGUACACAACAUGGCAUACAUAAUAGACCCUAUGGCCGAGGCAUAGGGGAUGACACUCAUCUUUUCUUUAUCUUCUGCCGUGGUCGGGCAUUGAGCCGUGCUCAAUCUCACACCUUGCAAUACAGGUAAGAACCCCUUCUUGGACUGAUCCAUAUUGAACUUCUUCAAUAUCUUGUCAAGGUACGUGCUUUGUGAAAGACCAAUGAGGCGUCUCGAUCUAUCUCUAUAGAUCUUGAUGCCUAAUAUGUAAGCAGCUUCUCCAAGGUCCUUCAUUGAAAAACACUUAUUCAAGCAGGCCUUUAUGCUUUCCAAGAGUUCUAUAUCAUUUCCCAUCAAUAGUAUGUCAUCCACAUACAAUAUGAGAAAUGCUACAGAGCUCCCACUCACUUUCUUGUAAACACAGGCUUCUCCAUAAAUCUGCGUAAACCCAAACACUUUGAUCAUCUCAUCAAAACGAAUGUUCCAACUCCGAGAUGCUUGCACCAGCCCAUAGAUCGAGUGUUGGAGCUUGCAUACCUUGUCAGCAUUCUUAGGAUUGACAAAACCUUCCGGCUGCAUCAUAUACAAUUCUUCCUUAAGGAAACCAUUAAGGAAUGCCGUUUUGACGUCCAUUUGCCAUAUCUCAUAAUCAUGGAAUGCGGCACUUGCUAACAUGAUUCAGACAGACUUCAGCUUCGCUACGGGUGAGAAGGUCUCAUCGUAGUCAACCCCUUGAACUUGUCGAUAACCCUUAGCGACAAGCCGAGCCUUAUAGAUGGUUACAUUACCAUCCUCAUCUAUCUUCUUCUUAAAGAUCCAUUUAUUUUCUAUGGCUCGCCGAUCAUCGGGCAAGUUAGUCAAAGUCCAUACUUCGUUUUCAUACAUGGAUCCUAUCUCGGAUUUCAUGGCUUCAAGCCAUUUGUCGAAAUCCGGGCCCGCCAUCGCUUCUUCAUAGUUCGAAGGUUCACCAUUGUCUAACAACAUGAUUUCCAGGACAGGGUUGCCGUACCACUCUGGUGCGGAACGUGUCCUUGUGGACCUACGAAGUUCAGUAGCAACUUGAUCUGAAGUUUCAUGAUCAUCAUCAUUAACUUCCUCUCUAGUCGGUGCAGGCACCACAGAAACAUUUUCUUGAGCCGCGCUACUCUCCGGUUCAAGAGGCAAUACCUCAUCAAGUUCUACUUUCCUCCCACUUCUUUCGAGAGAAACUCUUUCUCUAGAAAGGAUCCAUUCUUGGCAACAAAGAUCUUGCCUUCGGAUCUGAGGUAGAAGGUAUACCCAAUAGUUUCCUUAGGGUAUCCUAUGAAGACACAUUUUUCCGAUUUGGGUUUGAGCUUUUUAGGUUGAAGUUUCUUGACAUAAGCAUCGCAUCCCCAAACUUUCAGAAACGACAGCUUAGGUUUCUUCCCAAACCAUAAUUCAUACGGUGUCGUCUCAACGGAUUUCGACGGAGCCCUAUUUAAAGUGAAUGCGGCAGUCUCUAAAGCAUACCCCAAAAUGAUAGCGGUAGGUCCGUAAGAGACAUCAUGGAUUGCACCAUAUCCAAUAGAGUGCGAUUUCGAUGUUCAGACACACCAUUAUGCUGAGGUGUUCCAGGCGGCAUGAGUUGUGAAACAAUUCCACAUUUCCUUAAGUGCGUGCCAAAUUCGUGACUCAAAUAUUCUCCCCCACGAUCUGAUCGUAAGAACUUGAUUUUCCUAUCACGUUGAUUCUCAACCUCACUCUGAAAUUCCUUGAACUUUUCAAAGGUCUCAGACUUGUGUUUCAUUAAGUAGACAUACCCAUAUCUACUUAAGUCAUCAGUGAGAGUAGAACAUAACGAUAACCAUCGCGAGCCUCAACGCUCAUUGGACCGCACACAUCAGUAUGUAUGAUUUCCAAUAAGUUGGUUGCUCGCUCCAUUGUUCCGGAGAACGGAGUCUUGGUCAUUUUGCCCAUGAGUCAUGGUUCGCACGUGUCAAAUGAUUCAUAAUCAAGAGACUCCAAAAGUCCAUCUGCAUGGAGUUUCUUCAUGCGUUUGACACCAAUGUGACCAAGGCGGCAGUGCCACAAGUAUGUGGGACUAUCAUUAUCAACCUUACAUCUUUUGGCAUUCACACUAUGAAUAUGUGUAACAUCACGUUCGAGAUUCAAUAAGAAUAAACCAUUGACCAGCGGGGCAUGACCAUAAAACACAUCUCUCAUAUAAAUAGAACAACCAUUAUUCUCAGAUUUAAAUGAGUAGCCAUCUCGCAUUAAACAAGAUCCAGAUACAAUGUUCAUGCUUAAAGUUGGUACUAAAUAACAAUUAUUGAGGUUUAAAACUAAUCCCGUAGGUAAAUGUAGAGGUAGCGUGCCGACGGUGAUCACAUCGACCUUGGAACCAUUCCCGACGCGCAUCGUCACCUCGUCCUUCGCCAGUCUCCGCUUAUUCCGCAGCUCGUGUUUUGAGUUACAAAUAUGAGAAACUGCACCGGUAUAAAAUACCCAGGAGCUACUACGAGCGCUGGUUAGGUACACAUCAAUAACAUGUAUAUCACAUAUACCUUUGGUAUUGCCGGCCUUCUUAUCCGCUAAGUACUUGGGCAGUUUCGCUUCCAGUGACCGUUUCCUUUGCAAUAAAAGCACUCAGUCUUAGGCUUGGGUCCAUGCUUUGGCUUCUUCCCGGCAACUGGCUUACCGGGCGCGGCAACUCCCUUGCCAUCCUUCUUGAAGUUCUCCUUACCCUUGCCUUUCUUGAACUUAGUGGUUUUAUUCACCACCAACACUUGAUGUUCCUUUUUGAUCUCCACCUCCGCUGAUUUCAGCAUUGAAUAUACCUCAGGAAUGGUCUUUUCCAUCCCCUGCAUAUUGAAGUUCAUCACAAAGCUCUUGUAGCUAGGUGGGAGCGACUGAAGGAUUCUGUCAAUGACCGCAUCAUCCGGGAGAUUAACUCCCAGCUGAGAUAUGCGGUUGUGCAACCUAGAUAUUUUGAGUAUGUGCUCGUUGACAGAACUAUUCUCCUCCAUCUUACAACUAUAGAACUUGUCAGAGACUUCAUAUCUCUCGACCCGGGCAUGAGCUUGGAAAACCAUUUUCAGCUCUUGGAACAUCUCAUAUGCUCUGUGCUGCUCAAAACGCUUUUGGAGCCCCAGUUCUAAGCUGUAAAGCACGCCGCACUGAACCAGGGAGUAAUCAUCACUACGCGACUGCCAGACGUUCAUAACGUCUUGAGUUGCUGGGAAAAAAGGUGCAUCACCUAGUGGUGCUUCAAGGACAUAUGCUUUCUUGGCAGCUAUGAGGAUAAUCCUGAAGGAAAUAUGCCCUAGAGGCAAUAAUAAAGUUAUUAUUUAUUUCCUUAUAUCAUGAUAAAUGCUUAUUAUUCAUGCUAGAAUUGUAUUAACCGGAAACAUAAUACAUGUGUGAAUACAUAGACAAACAGAGUGUCACUAGUAUGCCUCUACUUGACUAGCUCGUUGAAUCAAAGAUGGUUAAGUUUCCUAGCCAUAGACAUGAGUUGUCAUUUGAUUAACGGGAUCACAUCAUUAGAGAAUGAUGUGAUUGACUUGACCCAUUCCGUUAGCAUAGCACUUGAUCGUUUAGUUUGUUGCUAUUGCUUUCUUCAUGACUUAUACAUGUUCCUAUGACUAUGGGAUUAUGCAACUCCCAUUUAUCGGAGGAACAUUUUGUGUGCUACCAAAUGUCACAACGUAACUGGGCGAUUAUAAAGGUGCUCUACAGGUGUCUCCGAAGGUACUUGUUGGGUUGGCGUAUUUCGAGAUUAGGAUUUGUCACUCCGAUUGUCGGAGAGGUAUCUUUGGGCCCACUCGGUAAUGCACAUCACUAUAAGCCUUACAAGCAUUGCAACUAAUGAGUUAGUUGCAGGAUGAUGUGUUACGGAAUGAGUAAAGAUACGUACCGGUAACGAGAUUGAACUAGGUAUUGAGAUACCGACGAUCGAAUCUCGGGCAAGUAACAUACCGAUGACAAAGGGAACAACAUAUGUUGUUAUGCGGUUUGACCGAUAAAGAUCUUCAUAGAAUAUGUAGGAGCCAAUAUGAGCAUCCAGGUUCUGCUAUAGGUUAUUGACCGAAGACGUGUCUCGGUCAUGUCUACAUAGUUCUCAAACCUGUAGGGUCCGCACGCUUAAAGUUCGAUGACGGUUAUAUUAUGAGUUUAUGUGUUUUGAUGUACCGAAGCAGUUCGGAGUCACGGAUAAGAUCGGGGACAUGACGAGGAGUCUCGAAAUGGUCGAGACGUAAAGAUCGAUAUAUUGUACAACUAUAUUCGGACAUCAGAAAGUUUCCGAGUGAUUCGGGUAUUUUCAGGAGUAUCGGGGAGUUACAGGAAUUCGUAUUGGGCCUUAAUGGGCCAUACGGGAAAGGAGAGAAAGGCCUCAAAGGGUGGCUGCACCCCUCCCCAUGGGCUGGUCCGAAUUGGACUAGGGAGGGGGGGACCCUUCCUUCCUUCUCCUUUUCCCUUCCCUUUCCUUCCCUCCUACUCCUACUACUUAGAAGGGCUCCUAGUUCUACUAGGAAAAGGGGAAUCCUACUCCCGGUGGGAGUAGGACUCCCCUAGGGCGCGCCAUAGAGAGGGCCGGCCCUCCCCCUCAUCCACUCCUUUAUAUACGGGGGCAGGGGCACCCCAAAGACACAACAAUUGAUCUCUUGAUCUCUUAGCCGUGUGCGAUGCCCCCUCCACCAUAAUCCACCUCGAUCAUAUCAUAGCGGUGCUUAGGCAAAGCCCUGCAUCGGUAGAACAUCAUCACCGUCACCACGCCGUUGUGCUGACGAAACUCUCCCUCAACACUCGGCUGGAUCGGAGUUCGAUGGACGUCAUCGGACUGAACGUGUGCUGAACUCGAAGGUGCUGUGCGUUUGGUACUUGAUCGGUUGGAUAAUGAAAAUGUACGACUACAUCAACCGCGUUGUGCUAACACUUCUGCUUUCGGUCUACGAGGGUACGUGGACAACUCUCUCUCGUCUCGUUGCUAUGCAUCACCAUGAUCUUGCAUGUGCGUAGGAAAUUGUUGAAAUUACUACGUUCCCCAACAGUGGCAUCAGAGCCAGGUUUUAUGCGUAGAUGUCAUAUGCACGAGUAGAACACAAGUGAGUUGUGGGCGAUAUAAGUCACACUGCUUACCACCAUGUCACACUUUGGUUCGGUGGUAUUGUUGGAUGAAGCGGCCCGGACCGACAUUACGCGUACGCUUACGCGAGACUGGUUUUACCGCCGUGCUAUGCACACAUGUGACUAGCGGGUGUCAGUUUCUCCAACUUUAGUUGAACCGAGUGUGGCUACGCCCGGUCCUUGAGAAGGUUAAAACAACACUAACUUGACAAACUAUCGUUGUGGUUUUCGAUGCGUAGGUAAGAACGGUUCUUGCUCAGCCCGUAGUAGCCACGUAAAACUUGCAACAACAAAGUAGAGGACGUCUAACUUGUUUUUGCAGGGCAUGUUGUGAUGUGAUAUGGUCAAGACAUGAUGAGAUAUAAGUUGUUGUAUAAGAUGAUCAUGUUUUGUUGAAGUUAUCGGCAACUGGCAGAAGCCUUAUGGUUGUCUCUUUAUUGCAUAAGAUGCAAGUGCCAAAUAAUUGCUUUACUUUAUCGCUAUGCGAUAGCAAUAGUUGGCGAGAUGACCAUGUGAUGACACAUUGAUAUAGAUCAAGAUGAUGGAGAUCAUGGUGUCAUGCCGGUGACGAUGGAAAUCAUGACGAUGCUUUGGAGAUGGAGAUCAAAGGCACAAGAUGAUGAUGGCCAUAUCAUGUCACAUAUUUUGAUUGCAUGUGAUGUUUACCUUUUAUGCAUCUUAUCUUGCUUUGAUUGACGGUAGCAUUAUAAGAUGAUCUCUCACUAAAUUUCAAGAUAAAAGUGUUCUCCCUGAGUAUGCACCGUUGCCAAAGUUCCUCGUGCCCAGACACCACGUGAUGAUCGGGUGUGAUAAGCUCUACGUCCAUCUACAACGGGUGCAAGCCAGUUUUGCACGCAGAAUACUCAGGUUAAACUUGACGAGCCUAGCAUAUGCAGAUAUGGCCUCGGAACACUGAGACCGAAAGGUCGAGCGUGAAUCAUAUAGUAGAUAUGAUCAACAUAAGUGAUGUUCACCAUUGAAAGCUACUCCAUUUCACGUGAUGAUCGGUUAUGGUUUAGUUGAUCUGGAUCAUGUGAUCACUUAGAGGAUUAGAGGGAUGUCUAUCUAAGUGGGAGUUCUUAAGUAAUAUGAUUAAUUGAACUUAAAUUUAUCAUGAACUUAGUCCUGGUAGUAUUAGCAUAUCUAUGUUGUAGAUCAAUAGCUCGCGUUUAGCUCCCCUGUUUUAUUUUUGAUAUGUUCCUAGAGAAAACUAAGUUGAAAGAUGUUAGUAGCAAUGAUGCGGAUUGGAUCCGUGAUUUGAGGUUUAUCCUCAUUGUUGCACAAAAGAAUUAUGUCCUUGAUGCACCGCUAGGUGAUAGACCUAUUGCAAGAGCAGAUGCAGACGUCAUGAACAUUUGGCUAGCUCAAUAUGAUGACUACUUGAUAGUUUAGUGCACCAUUCUUAACAACUUAGAAUCGGGACUUCAAAGACGUUUUGAACGUCAUGGAUCAUAUGGAUGUUCCAGGAGUUGAAGUUAAUAUUUCAAGCAAAUACCCGAGUUGAGAGAUAUGAAGUCUCCAACAAGUUCUAUAGCUAAAAGAUGGAGGAGAAUAGCUCAAGCAGUGAGCAUGUGUUCAGAUUGUCUGGGGUACUACAAUCGCUUGAAUCAAGUGGGAGUUAAUCUUCCAGAUAAAAUAGCGAUUGACAGAAUUCUCUAGUCACCAUCACCAAGUUAGUAGAACUUCGUGAUGAACUAUAGUAUGGAAGGGAUGACGAAAACGAUUCCCGAGCUUUUCAUGAUGAUGAAAUCGAUGAAGGUAGAAAUCAAGAAAGAGCAUCAAGUGUUGAUGAUUAACAAGACCACUAGUUUCAAAAAAGGGCAAAGGGAAAGAAAGGGAACUUCAAGAAGAAAGGCAAGCAAGUUGCUGCUCAAGUGAAGAAGCCCAAGUCUGGACCUAAGCCUGAGACUAAGUGCUUCUACUGCAAAGGGACUGGUCACUAAAAGCGUAACUGCCCCAAGUAUUUAGCGGAUAAGAAGGAUGGCAAAGUGAACAAUGCUAUAUUUGAUAUACAUGUAAUUGGUGUGUACUUUACUAGUGUUUAUAGCAACCCCUCGGUAUUUGAUACCAGUUCAGUUGCUAAGAGUAGUAACUCGAAACGGGAGUUGCAGAAUGAACAAAGACUAGUUAAGGGUGAAGUGACGUUGUGUGAUGGAAGUGGUUCCAAGAUUGAUAUGAUCAUCAUCGCACACUCCCUAUACUUUCGGGAUUAGUGUUAAACCUAAAUAAAUGUUAUUUGGUGUUUGAGUUGAGCAUGAAUAUGAUUUGAUCAUGUUUAUUACAAAACGGUUAUUCAUUUAAGUUAGAGAAUAAUUGUUGUUCUGUUUACAUGAAUAAAACCUUCUAUGGUCAUACACCCAAUGAAAAUGGUUCGUUGGAUCUCGAUCGUAGUGAUACAGAUAUUCAUAAUAUUGAAGCCAAAAGAUGCAAAGUUAAUAAUGAUAGUGCAACUUAUUUGUGGCACUGCCAUUUAGGUCAUAUUGGUGUAAUGUGCAUGAAUAAACUCCAUGCUGAUGGGCUUUUGGAAUCACUUGAUUAUGAAUCAUUUUGAUGCUUGCGAACCAUGCCUCAUGGGCAAGAUGACUAAGACUCCGUUCUCUGGAACAAUGGAGCGAGCAACUGACAUAUUGGAAAUAAUACAUACUGAUGUAUGCAGUCCGAUGAGUGUUGAGGCUCGCGAUGGGUAUCGUUAUUUUCUGACCUUCACAGAUGAUUUAAGCAGAUAUGGGUAUAUCUACUUGAUGAAACAUAAGUCUAAAACAUUUGAAAAGUUCAAAGAAUUUUAGAGUGAAGUGGAGAAUCAUCAUAACAAAAAUAAAAGUUUCUACGAUAUGAUCGCAGAAGUAAAAUAUUUGAGUUACGAGUUUGGCCUUCAGUUAAAACAAUGUGAAAUAGUUUCACCACUCACGCCACCUGGAACACCACAGUGUAAUGGUGUGUCCGAACGUCGUAACCGUACUUUAUUAGAUAUGGUGCGAUCUAUGAUGUUUCUUACCGAUUAACCACUAUAGUUUUGGGGUUAUGCAUUAGAGACAGCUACAUUCACGUUAAAAGGGCACCAUCUAAAUCCGUUGAGACGACACCGUAUGAACUAUGGUUUGGCAAGAAACCUAAGCUGUCGUUUCUUAAAGUUUGAGGUUGCAAUGCUUAUGUGAAAAAGUUUCAACCUGAUAAGCUCAAACCCAAAUCGGAGAAGUGCCUCUUCAUAGGAUACCCCAAAGAAAAUGUUGGGUACACCUUCUAUCACAGAUCCGAAGGCAAGAUAUUCAUUGCUGAGAAUGGAUCCUUUCUAGAGAAGGAGUUUCUCUCAAAAGAAGUGAGUGGGAGGAAAGUAGAACUUGAUGAGGUAACUGUACCUGCUCCCUUAUUGGAAAGUAGUUCAUCACAGAAAUCUGUUCCUGUGACUACUACACCAAUUAGUGAGGAAGCUAAUGAUGAAGAUCAUGUAACUUCAGAUCAAGUUACUACCGAAACCUCGUAGGUAAACCAGAGUGAGAUCCGCACCAGAGUGGUACGGUAAUCCUAUUCUGGAGGUCAUGUUACUUGAACAUGACGAGCCUACGAACUAUGAGGAAGCGAUGAUGAGCCCAGAUUCCGCGAAAUGGCUUGAGGCCAUGAAAUCUGAGAUGAGAUCCAUGUAUGAGAACAAAGUAUGGACUUUGAUUGACUUGCCCAAUGAUCGGCAAGCCAUUGAGAUUAAAUGGAUCUUCAAGAGGAAGACGGACGCUGAUAGUAGUGUUACUAUCUACAAAGCUAGAAUUGUCGCAAAAAGGUUUUCGACAAGUUCAAGGUGUUGACUACGAUGAGAGUUUCUCACUCGUAUCUAUGCUUAAGUCUGUCCGAAUCAUGUUAGCAAUUGCCGCAUUUUAUGAAAUCUGGCAAAUGGAUAAACAAAACUGCAUUCUUUAAUGGAUUUAUUAAAGAAGAGCUGUAUAUGAUGCAACCAGAAGGUUUUGUCAAUGCUAAAGGUACUAACAAAAUAUGCAAGCUCCAGCGAUCCAUCUAUGGACUGGUGCAAGCAUCUCGGAGUUGGAAUAUACACUUUGAUAAGUUGAUCAAAGCAUAUAGUUUUAUACAGACUUGCAGUGAAGCCUGUAUUUACAAGAAAGUGAGUGGGAGCACUACAACAUUUUUGAUAAGUAUAUAUGAAUGACAUAUUGUUGAUCGGAGAUAAUGUAGAAUUAUUCUGCAAAGCAUAAAGGAAUGUUUGAAAGGAGUUUUUCAAAGAAAGACCUCGGUGAAGCUUCUUACAUAUUGAGCAUCAAGAUCUAUAGAGAUAGAUCAAGACGCUUGAUAAGUUUUUCAAUGAGUACAUACCUUGACAAGAUUUUGAAGUAGUUCAAAAUGGAACAGUCACAAAAGGAGUUCUUGCCUGUGUUACAAGGUGUGAAGUUGAGUAAGACUCAAAACCCGACCACGACAGAAGGAGCAGACCACUGCCUUGUUGAAGAGGACCGACAUCAUCGUCGAGAAACUUAGGGACGAGAAUGCCAUGCUGCGCAUCGAGCGCAGAAGGCUGGUGGAGGAAUCCGUGGAUUCUCUCAACCAGCAUCUUGAGGACAAGAAAGAGCUCGUCGCCGCCCGCCGCGGAGACUAGUUGUCUUCCUUCUUCUUUUGCCCUUGUGUAUAUCGGGCGUUGUCGCAUGUGGCUUUUUUUUAAUUAUGUUUAUAAAUAUGUAAGACAAUUAUUAUCCAAUGUCAUCGUCCUUAUAUUCACCAUGCUUGCUAUAAAGUCGCAGUCGAUGCUAUAUAGGUCCGUUGGAUCUUACAUCAAGAUCUGUGCAAAACUUUCUUUUCAGAUUCUCAUUUUUCUCUUUUAAAUCUCAGUCCAGUGAGACAUAUAGCCACACCGUAGAACAGGUGCUCGGGUGCCAUUAUUGGAGACGUUGGGAGGGAGGUGCGUGUCGGGUAGCGGUCAAAAGGGCUCUCCUCCCGAUGAGCAGGCGCAUGGGUCUGAUCGCACGCCUCCCGUACUCAAAUAGCUACCCCGCAUGGCACCUCCUAGCAACUAAAAAAAGGGGACGUGUGGCUGCACAUAAUUGGUAAGUCAAAUGCCCAUGGUUUCAAUAAUACUUGUGUUUACGAUUUGUAACGUGACAACACUUGUUCCAAAAUGACUUUGUUGAUUGUUAAUGUGUGCGACUUCGCAAAUCAAACAGAAAAAUUACCACAUCAUGUUGGUGCCAUGUCAAGAGAUCAUGCCAAGUUUCAUGAUUUUCAGGUGUGUUUUGGAAUUACUGAAAUUAAAAAACCAAGUUUCUCAAUCUUUCCGGCCGAGCCACAACGCCCAAAUGUUUGAAUUUCACUCCCAUCUCUUGCAUGGGACCUAGAAAUUCACCCAAGGACACACAUGUGAUUUUCAAACAACUUUGGUGCACUGUAGCAUGUGCUUGUAGUUCAAAUUUGAAUUAUACACAUUAAAUGCCCAGAAACUCAAUUAAUGUAUAAAAAAGGCCAAACGAACCUGAAAUAAUUCUAAAAUUUAGCACGAUACUUCUAUUUGGUCUAAUCUUGCUGUGUAAAAAAAAUUAAGGCGGGAGAAGGCAGUGUACGUAUGUCGUUUCACACACGGAGGUGACACAUUCCCUCUUGAAACCACGAGCCUUCUUGAGGGAAGCUUCGGUUUGCAAGAAGCUUACACCAAAGCUUGUCCCAAUUCGGCCAAAAAAAUUACCACAGCAUGUUGGUGCCAUGUCAUGACACUAUGCCAAGUUUCAUGAUUUUCCGGCGUGUUUUGGAAUUACAGGAAUUAAAAAACCAAGUUUCUCAAUCUUUCCGGCCGAGCCAUGACGCCCAGAUGUUUGAAUUUCACUCCCAUCUCUUGCAUGGGACCUAGAAAUUCACCCAAGUACACACAUGUGAUUUUGCAAACAACUUUGGUGCACUGGAGCCUGUGCUUGCAGUUCAAAUUUGAAUUAUGCACAUUUAAUGCCCAAAAACUUAAUUAAUUUAUAAAAAAGGCGAAACGAGCCCAGAAUAAUUCCAAAAUUUAGCAAGGUACUUCUAUUUGGUAUAAUCUGGCUAUGUAAAAAAAUUAAGGCAGGAGAAGGUAGUGUACGUAUGUCAUUUCGCACACGGAGGUGAUAGUUCCCUCUCGGAACCACGAGCCUUCUUGAGGGAAGCUCCGGUUUGCAAGAAGCUUACACCAAAGCUUGUCCAAUUCAGCCAAAAAAAUACCGUUGCAUGUUGGUGCCAUGUCAUGACACCAUGCCAAGUUUCAUGAUUUUAGGCGUGUUUUGGAAUUACAAGAAUUAAAAAACCAAGUUUCUCAAUCUUUCCGGUCGAGCCAUGAUGCCCAGAUGUUUGAAUUUCACUCCCAUCUCUUGCAUGGGACCUAGAAAUUCACCCAAGGACACACAUGUGAUUUUUCAAACAACUUUGGUGCACUGGAGCCUAUGCUUGCAGCUCAAAUUUGAAUUAUGCACAUUAAAUGCCUAGAAACUCAAUUAAUGUAUAAAAAAGGGAAAAUGAGCCCGGAAUAAUUGCAAAAUUUAACAUGAUACUUCUAUUUGGUCUAAUCUGGCUGUGUAAAAAAAUGAAGGCAUGAGAAGGCAGUGUACGUAUGUCAGUUCGCACACGGAGGUCACACGUUCCCUCUUGGAACCACGAGCCUUCUUGAGGGAAGCUCUGGUUUGCAAGAAGCCUACACCAACGCUUGUCCCAAUUUGGCCAAAAAAAUUACCGCAUCAUGUUGGUGCCAUGUCAUGAGACCAUGCCAAGUUUCAUGAUUUUCAGGCGUGUUUUAGAAUUACAGGAAUUAAAAAACCAAGUUUUUCAAUCUUUUCGGCCGAGCCACGACGCCAAGAUGUUUGAAUUUCACUCCCAUCUCUUGCAUGGGACCUAGAAAUUCACCCAAGGACACACAUAUGAUUUUUCAAACAACUUUGGUGCAUUGGAGCCUGUGCUUGCAGUUCGAAUUUGAAUUAUGCACAUUAAAUGCCCAGAAACUCAAUUAAUGUAUAAAAAGGCGAAACGAGCCUGGAAUAAUUCCAAAAUUUAGCACGGUAGUUCUAUUUGGUCUAAGCUGGCUGUGUAAAAAAAUUAAGGCGGGAGAAGGCAGUGUACGUAUGUCGUUUCAAACACGGAGGUGUCACGUCCCCUCUCGGAACCACGAGCCUUCUUAAGGGAAGCUCCGGUUUGUAAGAAGCCUACACCAAAGCUUGUACCAAUUCGGCCAAAAAAAUUACCGCAACAUGUUGGUGCCAUGUCAUGACACCAUGCCAAGUUUCAUGAUUUUCAGGCGUGUUUUGGAAUUACAGGAAUUAAAAAACCAAGUUUCUCAAUCUUUCCGGCCAAGCCACGACGCCCAGAUGUUUGAAUUUCACUCCCAUCUCUUGCAUGGGACCUAGAUAUUCAUCCAAGGAUACACAUGUGAUUUUUCAAACAACUUUGGUGCACUGGAGCCUGUGCUUGUAGUUCAAAUUUGAAUUAUGCACAUUAAAUACCCCAAAACUCAAUUAAUGUAUAAAAAGGCCAAACGAACACGGAAUAAUUCCAAAAUUUAUCAAGAUACUCCUAUUUGGUCUAAUGUGCCUGUGUAAAAAAAAUUAAGGCGGGAGAAGGCAGUGUACGUAUGUCGUUUCGCACACGGAGGUGACACGUUCCUUCUCGGAACCAUGAUCCUUCUUGAGGGAAGCUCCGGUUUGCAAGAAUCUUACACCAAAGCUUGUCCCAAUUCGGCCAAAAAAUUUACUACAGUAUGUUGGUCCCAUGUCAUGACACCGUGCCAAGUUUCAUGAUUUUCAGCCGUGUUUUGGAUUUAUAGGAAUUAAAAAUCCAAGUUUCUCAAUCAUUCCGGCCGAGCCACGACACCCAGAUGUUUGAAUUUUAUUCCCAUUUCUUGCAUGGGACCUAUAAAUUCACGCAAAGACACACAUGUGAUUUUUCAGCAAACUUUGGUGCAUUGGAGCAUGUGCUUGUAGUUCAAAUUUGAAUUAUGCACAUUAAAUUCCUAGAAACUCAAUUAAUGCAUAAAAAUGCCAAACGAACCCGGAAUAAUUUCAAAUUUAAACACGACACUCAUGUACUAGUUGCAUGUUCACUGUAUGUAAAUGUUCUAGCAAUUCAAACACCAUCCUUUCCCUCCAUAACACCAUUUUGUCUUUCAAAACAUAAUGAAAAAAAUCAGGUAUACCACAAACAGUUUACUAGAAAGAAUCGUGUGGGAUGCGAUAUAAAAUAUCUUGGCGCACCGUCUUGUCUGGCUUACGCAGGAAGCUUCGUCGUGUAUAGUCCACCGCCUCCACUUGAACCACACUUGCGCGCCAGUUUCUCGCCGCACCGAGCGAAUUUUUUUGCCACCGCAGAAAUAUCUAUCUCCCCGCCCCUCCCUCCUACCAAAAUCCACAUUUCCACUGUUCCUCCUUGCUUUCCAAGUUCAAACCUUCACUGCUACUUACGGGCAGCUCAGCCUCCUCACCGGCGACCCUUCUUCUUGUAGUACCACCUCCUCGCCAGCUACCCUUCUUCUUGCAGCGCCGCCUCCUCGCUGGCGACCCUUCUUCUUGCAGCGCCGCCUCCUCGCCGGUGACCCUUCUUCUUGCUGCGCGGCCUCCUCGACGGCGACCAUUCUUCUUGCUGCGCGGCCUCGUUGAUAUGGUCAGGUAAUCCACACCCACCCACACCAUCCUCCUCCUUUCCCGUCCCACAUGCCCCGACCGACGGAGCGACACCUUCCACCGAAAUCACUGCCCCUCCUCCAAUUAAGCGCCGCCACAACCAUUUUACACGUAGUAUAACAUGGAGCUGAGUAGCAUGCAGCCGCACACGCGAACAAGGUCGCUAUGGCUGACAUGCGUGUUGACCGCCAGAUCUUGGAGGAGCACCUCGUCUUCGAGGCCACCAUCGACACCACCGCGCAGUUGUCUACUUUAAAAUACAGUUCGUGAUGUUUUCUCGAGGCCAUCGCCAGUGCCUUCUAGUGAUUUGUCCUCUGUAAUGUUAAUAUGCAAUCUGAUGUUCAGUUAACAGUUUGGUCCUCUGAAAUGUAAUGUUCAGUUAACACUUUGGUCCAACAAUUGCUACAUUUCGUAGUACUGUUCUCAAGCAUUCUUUGUUUUGUUAACUGUCUUAUCUUCUCAUACAUGUUUCUACUCUACAAUGUCGUGCGUAGCUAACAAUUUUGGUUCAUUUGGUCUGCUGUCCAUUUAACUGUUUGGUUCAGUUCUGCAAUUUGAUUUUCAUUUGCUGUGGGUACAAUUUUGUAUUGUUAUGCAUGUGGCACCAAUCGAAUUUGGCUGUACUCAAUACACAUUCUACUGAUAGUAUGGCAACUGUCAGUUAACCUGAUCAAAAUCUUCCUUAUGUGUGUUGCAGGGAAACAAUGGGAGACACUGCGGGUUACCAUCGAGGUUUGUUCAAGUAGGGUCCUUUGGCUAAUAGCACAUUAUUGUGCAGUUGCAGGAAUCAUUCUAAUAUUUAUGUUUCUUACAAUUUGAUCUUGCACAUGUAGGUCCAGUAGUCAGAGGCUUAGACCCACUGUUCGACCCAUUUUGCAUAUGGGGAAAUGAGAUGUCCAUGAAUAUCAGUCAAGUCAAGAAACUCAGAAAGAUUGUUAGGAUGAAGAAGCUUGCGACGAAUAAUAGCAAGAUCUUUGUUUGCACAAUGAAGAAGACACCAGUCAACUAUAGGAUGGUACCAACUCUUUUACCUUGUUUUUACCCCUUGCGCCAUUUCAAAAUUUACAACAGCGAUUUAUGCAUAGCUUUGUUUUCAGUACUUUUCAAAGCAGUUCACCGAUGAUUACCUCUCAAACCACCUUCAUGGUCAAGAGGCGAGGAAGGUAUUCAUUCAACACCCACGGUACAAUAUUGAAGUCUUGCUGAAGAGGACGAAGGUUGGGCGGGCAAUUAUCCAUAGCCACUGGCCUAAAGUUGCAAGGACAUUCAACAUCACUGAAGGCUGAAUAUUUGCCUCCCGCUUCUGCAGUUUCCCAGAUGAGAUUCAUCUGUCUAUUUACGGUGUAUGAUGCUACUUUCCAAAGGUUUUUGAUCCUGCAUGUGAAACUUGGUGCUGUUGUGUAAUGGCGUAACUGAGUUCCGAAGCUAUCUGAUGUAAUUUGAUUAUGAAAUCUUGGUUGCUUUUAUACGGAUAUGAAAUAUCUGGCGUGUUUUAUAAGAAAUACCAGUUUGAUUAGUACAUGGAUUAUCAAUAAUAGGAUAAUUACCCUGCUUAUUGGGGUUUUCUAUUGAAAUGGUUACUCAGACAGCACCAUGGGCGAUGAACUCAAACAACCCGCACUGUUUCUAAAAAGUAGGCGUGUUCGAUCAACUAACAAUCACACAUGGCUUCCGGCAGCGAACUAUUUGCGUUAGGCCACAUUGCACAAAUGUUUCCACACAAAGAACUAUGUGGGAUGUACAUACCUACGGAAAUGAUUUUCUAGGAUUCACCGUGUGGGAUGUACAUACAUAUGGAAAUGAUUUCUGGGAUUCACCGUGUGGGAUGUACAUACCUACGGAAAUGAUUUCUAGGAUUCACCAUGUGGGAUGUACAUACCUACGGAAAUGAUUUCUAGGAUUCACCGUGUGGGAUGUACAUACCUACGGAAAUGAUUGGGUUUCCAUGCCUCACCCGAUCGCACACGGGCCCAACCUGGAUCCCACGAGGGCCUAUCCCCGACGAUUUCUGGGUCAUGUGGGAAGGACCCCCUAUUGCCCACACUCACUUGGCAACGGUUCCAAAUGCCGUCAUGGAAAGGGGUUUUAAACCGUUUGUUUAGGACGUUGCUGUACCAGUGUGAGUAUAUAUAGGAGGAAGAUCUUGGUCAGGAGGUCAUCGAGGGGCCCACAAGGUCGGGGGGCGCACUCCACACACCUAGGCAUGCCCUCCACCCUCGUGGCCGCCUCGUGGCUCUUGUGACUUGCACUCCAAGUUUCUUUGGUGUCUUCUGGUCCAAGAAAAAUCAUCGCGAAAGUUUUAUUCCGUUUGGACUUCGUUUGGUAUUCCUUUUCUGCGAAACUCUAAAACAAGGAAAAAAUAGGAACUGGCACUGGGCUCUAGGUUAAUAGGUUAGUCCCAAAAAUCAUAUAAAAUAUCAUAUUAAUGCAUAUAAACAUCCAAAAUAGAUAAUAUAAUAGCAUGGAACAAUGAAAAAUUAUAGAUACGUUGGAGACGCAUCACGCGGCUUGUACGUUAUUUCAAAUGGUAAGAGCUCAAUGGCCCAUUUAGCUAUGCAGUUGGUGGCGUUCCUAUUAUUUACAAUGUCAUUGAGUGGUGCUUCGAAUGCCACCGUUAUCAAACACUCCUGAAGAUAGUGCCGGAGCUUUCGGGAUGCCAUAAAGACCGCGUAAGCUAUCUUUUGAUAGUGAGGAUAUCGGGAUUUUCAUGGUGUAAGGACCGCCGAUACAUAGUAUACUGGAUUCUGGAUGGGGAAUUUAUGUCCCUCUUCCCCUCGCUCGACGGUGAGUACGGCGCUCACUACCUGGUGAGUUGCGGAUAUAUAAAGUAACAUAGGCUCUCCAACACUUGGGGUGGCUAGGAUUGGAUUGCCUGCUAAUAAGGUUUUUAUUUCUUCCAAUCCAACUGUAGCCGCAUCCAUCCAUUCCAAGUGGUCGGUGCGUCUAAGUAGUCUAUAAAGUUCUAAUGUCUUUUCUCCUAAUCUAGAGAUGAAGCGGCUCAAAGCUGCCAUGCACCCUGCUAGUUUUUGGACCUGCUUUAAGUCUGUUGGUAUGGCCAGUUGCGACAAGGCUCAUAUUUUGGUUGGGUUUGCUUCAAUUCCUCUAUUGGAGACAAUGAACCCGAGUAGCUUUCCGGCUGGAACGCUGAAAACACAUUUUUCCAGAUUGAGCCGUAUGUCGUAUGUUCGGAGGUUAUCGAAUGUGAGGUGGAGAUCGUCCACCAAUGAUUCAACGUGUUUAGUCUUAAUGACCACGUCAUCCACAUAUGCUUCCACUUUCUUGCCAAUUUGUUUUUCCAAACAUGUUUGAAUCAUGUGCUGGUAAGUGGCACCGGCUUUUUAAGCCCGAAAGGCAUAGUGUUGAAACAUAAAGGCCCAUAAGGGGUAAUGAACACCGUUGUGGCCUGGUCGGAUUCCUUCAUAUUAAUCUGAUGGUAUCUGGAGUAAGCAUCAAGGAAACACAAUGAGUCAUGUCCCGCGGUCACAUCGAUAAUCUGGUCAAUGCGGGGCAACGGGAAAGGGUCUUUGGGGCAAGCGUUAUUUAGGUCUUUGAAAUUGACACAAAGGCGCCAUGAUUUAUCCUUGUUCGACACCAUGACUAGGUUGGCUAGCCAAUAUGUCGGGGAAAAUAUACCAGGGUAUAUGUUUUCCCCUGACUCGUGCACGGACAAGCCAAGAUCGAGCCAAGAUAUACAAGAAACCAAGAGAUUUGAAGGAUCAACAUGUAGAUCAGAGGGACCGAGAAUGAACCAAGGAAGCAGGAUACUGUCAAGAGAAACGUCUCCCUUGCUGGGCAGGCGAGCCCAGCAAGGGGUGGGGCCACCUCUAGAAGCGGACAACCAAAGCACCCUGGUAGGGCCUGCCGGGGCUCACGGAGGCAAAACCACCUCGCCAACCACUCUACCACGACCCAUGUCAUCGAUCAGUGCGGUGUCAAGCUGCAAAGUGAUUAAGUGGCAGCCAUUCGCCACAUGGUAGCCAUUUCCUACAGGAGAAACCCACAGAUGACACCCAUCAUGCGACAUGUCAAGAGAACAUGUGCGGAGCUGGCAAGAUAGCCCGGCAAGCCUUGCCGGGCACCCAACGAUGUGACGUUAAGCGGUGCAUUUAAUGCACCCUGUUAGCCCGCAGAGUUAAGUAUGAUGGCACUAUUUGCUAUCUUAUCAGUGCGUAAUGACCACUUUGCCACUGUGGCUACCCCUUGAUCUAUAAAAGGAGGCCCAUGGCAACCGUAGAAAGGGUUAGAAGGUUGGAUAACUCACACCCCCAUACGCGCGUAGUCGCUACUACCCCAAGGUGACCCCUGCUCGGCAAGUGUACUACGCUCGACAACACCUUUUCGACCAUCAAUCCACCAAAGCAGGAGUAGGGUUUUACGCCUCACGGCGGCCCGAACCUGGGUAAAUUACCCGUGUGAUCUCUGUCGUGCUGCCCCACGCUCGUCUGCUCUUUGUGCAAUGCAUCAUCCCCCUGCCGAACCAGCAAGGGACCUCCUAGUCCCAUAGGUGGCCGUGGUUUCCCUCGACAUCUUUGGGCGCCAGGGAUGGGGGCGCGCUUGCACGAACCUCAAGGCGUGUGUAGUGCGUCGACUUCAUCACCAUCGUCAUCUUCGAUGACACCAUCGAUCAUGGCACCCAAAGAGACAUAGAAGCAAAGCGGGGCUAUCGUUGCACCAUUUUUGUUGGUCUCCAUGCCUCGCCAUAGCCGCGGUUAUGGCAAAGAUCAUUGCUAGUGGCAAUAUGCCCAUCACGGCGGCCCGUAUGACGUACCCACCAUUCGGAGAAGGGGCACAAGAUGUGCGGGCGCAAGAUCCCUCCUUCCUGUCCCUUCCCCUCGUCAUCAGUCGAACUGCUUCAGCCUCGGCGUCGUUGGUGUCGACGAUUACCGCACGACGCUCGGUCCAGUAUUCCCCCUACUUUGUGUAAUCCUGAGCAGAACACUGGUACAAGUCCGCCGACUGAUGCCUCGGCAAGCAUGCUUCAGUGAGGCUCCUGCAUUGGCACGACCUCUGCAACGGCGGCCGCUGGACUGACUCGAAGGGAAGGGAACAAAAGGGAGAGGAACCAGAGGAUCCGGGUGCUAUGCCCCAAUGCCCGCCACCCGCAAGAAAUGCAUAUCACUUCCUGCCGAGAACAAAGAAAUCACCUGAUUGGCUUAUGCUCCUCCAAGUGCCACGGGCGCGCCCGGGAGCACGGUCUGGAAGAGGAAAAAGGGGGCUCGAAACAAAAACUAAGUUUGCAUUAUCACCUCCUAUUGAUGCCUUUCAAAUCCUCGCAGUCGUUUAUCCCUUAACCCUAGUGAGCAUUCAUAUCGUGAAAGCCCUCAUGCGACGAAACCUUGGCUAUUUUCUUUGAUUGCACCAUCAUCCUGUCUAGAGCCAUGCUCACAGGUUGAGAGGCUGCAUCGAGAGGUACCUAGGAAAAACCUGCCGAGACGCAUCCACGCCAAGAUGACUGUUAAGGGCCAGACCCUUACGACAAUCGCGACAAUAUGAUAUCAGCAGGCAUCCAGAGCAUAUAUAUGAAUUGAUCAUAUGAACGCAAACAUGUAGGGCUCAAAGGGAUAAACACACAUUUAAAAAUCUAGCUAGAAAUACCAGUUUUGCACAAACACUAGAGAUAGAAUAACUAAACGCAAAAUACGUAUCAUGUUCCUUUAUAGAGCGCAGUGGAAACGAUAGUGGCCUGAUACUUGGUCCGGUGUCCAGAAGGAAUAGCUUAAACGCAAAGAACCCUGUUGGCGCGGGGAGUGGCUUUCUUCUCAGCAGCUGCAAUGUCGGCACCCACUGGCGGCUUCUUGAAUCCAUCAUCGAGGUCGAGCUCUAGAUGGCGGCAGAUGAUAUUGCUCAGGACCAUGAAGAGGGCGUUGCGGGCAAGCUUCCGGGACUUGGUCGCGAAGCGCUCAUGCCUCCCCUCUUCAUGCACCUUUAGCCUGUCGAUCAGCUCGUUGAAGAAGAGCCCCAACUUGAUGCUCGGGACCUCCUGCAUGCUAGCUGAGAAGACUGGGCCGCCCAUGACCAUCAUCGCAGCUUGGGCCCCGAGGCGUUCAGCAAUGUCAAUCAUGCUUUUGAUCCAGAGGUUGCUCGUAUCAACCUGAUUCUUCAACCUAUCCUCUGCAUCUUGCCGGAGACGCUUGGCGGUUUCCAAAUCCUUGGAGAACAACUGCUGUCGGGACUCAAGGGACUCCGCCGACCGCUCCAGCGAGCCGAUCCUCGCCUUCAUAUCCGUGAUGUUGCCAUUGGCAAUCUCAAGGCUCUGGGUCUUGGAGGAGAGCUGCGACUGCACAUCAGCCAAGUGGAUCUGUGCCUGCCGAGCUCCCUCUUUGAGUGCCUCCACCUCUUUGGCACUUUUAGUGAGCACCUCAUUCAGCUUAGCCACCUGCCGGUCAAGAUCAAUCUUGGUGGCGGAUGCGGCAUCCAAAUCUUCAGUAAGCUUCUUCAACUGGGCAGCAUGGUCAGUGGCGGGUGUCCAGAGCAGCCCCAUGCUUGUCCUCCAAUUCCUUGGUGUGUUGCUGCACUAGAGCCUCUAAGCCUUCGUCCUUGGCACGGAGGAUGGCUUCGAGUUUCUCCUCCCGAAGGGAGAUCUCUCGCUCUCUAGCAUUUAGAGAUGCCUUGUGAUUCGCCAGUCGCGCCUCCCAUGCUAUGAAAUUCUCCCUCGCCAUCAGGGGCAUCUCUUGCUACCUCACGAGCACCUUAAAUUGCUUGCCGUUCCAGUCGCGCAGCUCCAGGCACCUGUCCUUCAACUUCUAGUCCACCUUGCCGGUGGACUCGCGCCGCUCCUUGAGCUCCUGCCACUUUUGACAGUGCCGGGCCUGCAUCUCCUUCAUGCCUGCCGCCGUGGACGCCAUGAAGGACAAAUCCAUUGUGAUGGCGGCUGAGUCAUCGGCCUCCCUGGCUCCCAAGUAUAUGAUGCCAGGAGGCGCUGGAGCUCUUCAUCGAGCUCCGCGUCCGCUGUCGAAGAUAGACCAGGGGCUCCGAUAUUAGGCAACGCCAACACCAUGGACAAUGUGUUUGAGGAAUACGGCGGGGCCUCAGUGAUGAUCCCGGAGGAGGGAAGUGGGUCCAUGGUUUGGAGGGUGAUUUUCGCCUCGACAACCACUUCCUCUACCGGGGCAUCCUCCAGAGAGUGCUCCACCACCACCAAAGAGGUCUGUGCAUUCUCGGAAGCAAAGUCCUGCCCCUCAGCAACAACAAUCUCCAUGGCCUCAUCCGCGACAGCCCUUCCUAUAUCAGCCACCACCUCCAACAGCUCUGGUUCAUUGGCUUGAGGGGCUGCGCAUGAAAGGGCUAGUUAAUAACGGAGAAAUGAAAGUCUUGAGUAGAUAAAAAAUCAGGAGAACCAACCAGAGCAAGAAAUAAAAGAAGGAAUGAGUGGGGUACCUGGAGAGGUCUGCCGCGUAGGAGCCUCUGUCUCGCCGGCAAUGACCGUUGUCAGGCCGUGAGCUUUGCCCCCUGCCGUGGUAGUCUCAGCAGCCUUCCGCGCAGCUUCAUCCACGAAGUGUUCCGUGGCAAGAUCUUCGGCCUAAGAAGCAGGGGAAGCACGCCCCUCGGGGAGGGCCNNNNNNNNNNNNNNNNNNNNNNNNNNNNNNNNNNNNNNNNNNNNNNNNNNNNNNNNNNNNNNNNNNNNNNNNNNNNNNNNNNNNNNNNNNNNNNNNNNNNNNNNNNNNNNNNNNNNNNNNNNNNNNNNNNNNNNNNNNNNNNNNNNNNNNNNNNNNNNNNNNNNNNNNNNNNNNNNNNNNNNNNNNNNNNNNNNNNNNNNNNNNNNNNNNNNNNNNNNNNNNNNNNNNNNNNNNNNNNNNNNNNNNNNNGUCUUCUGCGUCUUCCCCACCAAGGCCGAGCUCUCCACGCCCUCCAGCGACCCGAGGCAUUGGAGCCUCUUCCGGGAAUGAUGGACGAGGGUCUCCGUGUCCUCCUCCACUUCCCUGCCGGCAACAACAAGAACAAGACGAUUGUUCAGCAAAAGCAUUCAUGCCUACCUAAGGGAUAUCUAUCAAAAAGGGAAAUCUUCCUUAACUCUUCCGCGAUUAGCAUGGAAUUCAAGUUGAACUCCGUGGGAGGAGGAGACUCCCGACCCCUCUGCAGAGACGGAAGGGCGGAACUCCCCGGUAGCUUCGGUGCUUGCCGUGGCGCUAGGAGCUUCGGAGAAGAUGAGCUCUACGAGGAGCUUGAGACGGAGGAGGCCUUGCUCUGGGCCAAAUGAGGGGAUUGGUGGAGGUCUUCUUCACUCUAUUGGUGGCUGGCGUUGGGUUGGAUGUUGCCACCCCUCGAGAUGCGACACGCCUGCGGGUGCACUGAUCUGGGUUCAGUGCGGGGGCUUGCGGUCCAGCCGUGAGCCACUCGUCGUCAGGGGCCACCACCGCAUCCUCCGCCUCCUCCUCUCCCUCUUGAAACUCCGUUGCUACUGUGGCUAGGGUGUCUAGCCCGACAAAAUUGUCCCCGGCAAGCUCUUCUCCGGCAGCAUCUUCCGUGGCUUGUGCCACGCUGCCGUGGGAAGAACUUCCGUCCCCAGCUUUCCUUUUGCCCUUCCUGGCCUCUGUGGCCUUCUCCAUAUCUACACGGCGGGCAGCCUUGUCCGCCUCGACCCUCUUUAGAAUAUAAGCCACCUCCACAGCAGAGGUGUGUUUAUACAUCCCCUCUUCAGUCCUGGUGGCCCUCUCCACCAGGGUGUUCGACCACUGGAGCUCUUCAUCCAAAGUAGGGAGCUGCCAAGUGCCCGAUACCCCUUCAGCAUUGCAGGCCGGCAUCCAUUUCUAUAUCUAGUCCCGGGUAGAAUUGAUGUUUAGAGGCAUGAUGGUUGCCGGGAGCUUGAACAACUCGAAGCGACCAAAUAGUUGGUCACACAACCAGCCAUGACCAUAAACUGACAAGUUAUUGGCCAACCCUGGGAGCAACCUCAUCCUAUCUACAGCGUCACCAUACAGCCACGCAGGUCUGUCCCUUUCCCUGUAGUGGCGAGAUGUGGCAGAGAAGAAAAAUCUGCCGCCACGUGCUUAAUGGUUAGCCCGACAAUCGCCAAAAGGGUAAUCCUGUUGAUUGCCGGGCACAACCUAUCCUCGGUAAGGCCUUUGGCACUCCAAUCCUUGCCGCGUGACGGUGACCUGGACUAGGGGGUACUCACCAUGUCGUCUCCCAAUCAGUUGGAUUAGGCUGAGGACCCCCAUGGCCGUAUGCUCAUGGGCCAGUUCGGACAGCCGAUGUAUACACGAGGAAGAUUCCACAAGACUUGGUGAUCAAGACAAGGACUCCUCUCCACCGGCGUAUUCGACUAGGACUCUUGUUAUCCUAGGCCUCUAGUACAUUAUAUAAGCCGAGGCCAGGCUAGUCAGUAGAUUAUUAUGACAUUACUCAUCAUACCUGUAGGGUUUAGACUACAACAUACGAUCUCGAGGUAGAUCAACUCUUGUAACCCCUAUACUCAUCAAAGUAAAUCAACCAGGAAGUAGGGUAUUACCUCCAUCAAGAGGGCCCGAACCUGGGUAAACAUCGUGUCCCCUGUCUCAUGUUACCAUCGAUCCUUAGACGCACAGUUCGGGACCACCUACCCAAGAUCCGCCGAUUUCGACACCGACAAUGGUGCUUUCAUCGAGAGUUCCACUGUGUGAGCGGCAAAGUAUCAAUGGCUCGCCCGCAGAUCAACUGUUACGCCGACAUCUUCGUCGCCAGCUCGACUGGUCACCUUGGCUCGGCUGAGGACCGCGCUCCAUCUCUGGUCGUCAUGUUUGGACCAGGGCCUUCAUCAACAUCAACUCCGAUCUCUAUCAAGAUCAUGGAGGAAUCGUCCAUGGAGCUCGGGGGCAACGUCAACAUUGCCCUCGGGCGACCGUGCUGUUUUUCCAAACAUUGAACUUGUAUAAGCUGACACCACCUCCUCGAUCAUCGCUUUGAUGAUUCCUUAGGUGGAAUUGGGCGGAAUUGAGUAUACAACAACCAUGCAAAACUUCAUCGAGUUCUAAUGGAGGAAUAUCCAGCAAUCUACGAUAUACCGGAGCCCUGUCAAAUCUCGACGGGAAUCUGGACGAGUUUAUGGCAUGGUCUCUAGCACCCAGCUCGGACGUCCUUUGGAAGAUCCAACCGUUGAACGACUGCGGAAUCCUAUAUCUACCACCCCUCAAAAUUUCAGCUCGAUCCGACCGUCCAAACUCCGAGAACCUUCCGAUUAGUGCAUCACUUUUUGGAUCUGUUUUCUAGCGAAUACAGAUCUAACUAGAAUUCAUGUUUCUUUAUGAACGUGAUAUUGGACAACCUUUUUAAAGGAAUUUUCUUCUACGGUAUUGUGCGUUGUUUCUAACACGUGCCCAUAAAAUUUUAAGCCUUCUUUGAGGCACUCUUCACCAUCGCGCUGGUGUCACACCAGUCCAGUAACAUUGCUCCACGUCUACCGACCUGUGCUAGACAGAUCGUCGCUUCAUCGAGCCGAGCCUAACCUUAUCGGAUCAUUAGCUCGGCAAGCCGAACAAGAGUUCGGCAUCGCGAAGGAUAAAUCAUCACCAACACCAUCGCCUCACAGAUUGCACGGGUCAGGCGCGCCGACAUCGCCGCUCGGUCACUUCAUCAAUCCGGCAUUGACUGCGUCACAAGUUAUGACCGGCGUCGACAUGGCCGCACUGUUGCUUUUUUAAGCCGAUGUCCAUCACACUGAACUGCUUGAACACCUCGACUGACAUGGCAGCUACAAUGUAUCCUUACUAACCCGCUCCGUCAUCUCGGCUAGACCAGUGACUUUGUUAUUUAUUCAUCAACAUACUCCGGUGACUUCGGCGUCACCAGCCGACUAGCUUCAUCACAUUAGCUGGACCGGGGGCUUUGCCUUAGUGAGCCCACCUUUGCCAGCAUCGCCAUGCCGUCGCUUUAUUGCCCAUCAGGCAAUGGGUGUGCGGAUCGAGUCCCAAUUUUCAGAGUAACCUUUCUUCAGAUUGCUACAAUAGAUAAACCAGGAGCUAUUAAUCCUAGUAUUUUUUCUUGCUUGGGUUUACUUUUCCCAAGGAAUUAUUACUCUGGUUUGUUGCAUCAUCUGUAGAUAGGUAUAUCAAAUGGUGGCCGCAUUAACAACGAUCGCGUGGUGGUUUGGUCAGUUUCCAUAUACAAUUCGGCAAAUGCCGCAUCCGGAACUCAGACCGGCCUGCGAAUUCAGGCUUGGCCACGCCUUCACCGCGUCACGCCGACGCCCUGCAUCGAUAUGACUUCGGCGCCAGGCCACAUCUCUUUCAAUAAAUUAUUUUUGCGAAAAGCAAUUAUCCUUUUUGGACCGCACUAUUUUAUGUGUGUAGGUGAUCGACUUGACUGCAUCACGCGGUCACUUUGGCAAGUCGACGUCGUUGUCCCAAUUGGCUUGCGUGAUCACCUUGUUGGUCGAAUCGCCAUAUCGACAUAUUCGGUUGCCUCAGGGACUUUGGCAUCGCUGAGAGAGCUCUACCCCAUCGAGUGUUCGACACACGGGCCAUAUUUCUUUUAUUACUCACUUUAUGUAAAUUAUUAAUUAUGCAACAAUUUAUUAUUAUUAUUAUUCCUAUUAUCUCCGGCUUGCACUAUUUUCUGUGCACACGUAAAGGAUCCGGGUCGGGCAGCGCUGUCACCUCGGCGUACCGACGUACCAUGUCACCUCGGCUGGACCAAGGGCUUCAUCAUUACAACAUUAAGCCACGCUGGGGACUUCAGCGUCACACUGCCGGCCUGCAUUGGCCAUGCUAUGUCGCCACUUUGCAGUGCCAAGCACUUCGCUCUGCCACCUCGGGACCGGCUUGGGGGCUGGGACCUUGUCCCACCGUAAGCUCGGGCCAUGCAUCGACACCGAGCACAUUAACCAGCUAAGUCGCUUCCAUGCUUAAAAACUUUCAGUUUUAAAUUUCGUUCGGUUCGACCAAGCAUUAUGCUUUUUUGACAAAAAGUCAUUUGCGAAAAACUUUCUUUGUCAAAACCUUGUUUGUUGCAAGAAAAUUCAAAUACCCCGUUUACUUGGGGGCUUCCAUUAUGAAGCCUUUCCUCUUGCAUUUGAUUAUACUUGUACGACUUCGUUCCUUGUUCGUGUAUUACGCCACAAUAUGCACCAUGUUGACUUAAGUGUUUCGCAAGCUGGGUUGCCUGGCUCCUGUGCUUACCCCUACGUUCUCGAUUGUUUGGCUAGGCGGUAAAGGGAGCACCUCUGUGAUUGUUACUACCGGGUCAUCCGAGUUAGUACCUCAGACUGGGUGAAGCCGAAAGCUAGCGCUCUUAUUGUUUUCAAUAAUGGUCGGCACACAACGGAACUCAUGAGUACAAAAAAUCUAUUGCAGAAGUCUCAUAGUAACAAUGAGCAACCGAUGAAAGGUAUCGGUGGAGGUACUAUUUUCUUCGAAGAUGCUUCUUACACUUCAUCAGUAAUAUAGCAUAAGUUCCCUGAGCGCGCUUUGUCUGUUACAGCCUUAUGUCCUGAUUGCCUGGUUAUCGGAAACACCGUCGAUGCUUUCGACAGGUGGAGUACAUGACACUUUUCGGUCCUUGACCAAAGAGGGAGAAGCCGAUGGUUGGUUAAUACACAUUUAAAGUUUAGGUGAACACAAAUAUGAUAUAAGUACAUCGGUACAUACAAUCAUUAUACAUAAAAUUCUUUUACCCAAGUCACUUGGGGGCUCUUAAAAUUUAUAUGAGCUGUUUUAUAGUAAAUGUGUUUUCUUCUUGGUCGUUGUAAAGUCUUUUUCUACUGCUCCUUUUUCGACUCGAGUGUAUGGUCAAUAGCCGUAUAGCCUGUCUUCUCUCUAAAAAGCCGCUUGAGUUUAGUUCGCUAAACUGGCCUCGAAGAAGUACUCCGCUUUGGGAUAAGGAGCUCAAAGCCGUAGGCUGGCCCACUUGAAGUGUUGAGAUCGGGUGUGUCAUGUUAAAACACGGCAGAAGCACAAUUUUUUCUUUUUUUCCAAUUUUCGGAUUGGCACCGAACACUUGAUCUUGUUCGGACGUCAAGUUUUUACUGACGUUUUUUGGUUUUCCAAGCUUAUGGCACUUUUAAACUAUUUGUGUGUUUUCAGCACAAGUCUCGCAGUGCAACGCCGGACACCUUUAGAGAUUCGGCAAAACAUUCUCGGAUAUUGCUAAAUAUGCAUCAGUUUCGAAUUGUGUCUUCGGUCAAUAGUUGGGUUGCCCGGCUCCUGCGCUUGCCUCCUACGUUCCGCUUUGUUCGGCUAGGUGUGCAAAGGGAGAACCACUGUGAUUGUGCUUCCAGCUCGCAUGGUUAAGCACCUCAGUGGAGAAAGCCGAAAAUUGACUGUCACAAUAAGCGUAAACUGGUCAGCGAUCCGAUGACUACGUUAAAUGACGGGCCGUUCAUAACAUUGGCCGAAGUGUUUACGGCUUGACCUCGGAUGUCGCCAGACACUAAUCGGGGGCUCAUAGCUAGCUUCCCCAGUUUAAAGCUCCUAUGACUAAGUGAAAGUUAUGAAGCCCGCAUAUCUAAUUGCCCCGUUUCUGCUAACAGAACCGCCUUCGGGCACUGAGAUGUCGGCUAAGGGUUGUCUUGUUAUUGCGGAGACACCUCGUGUAGUAUCUACAAAGGGGUAGAAGCCAAUGAUGGGCCACUUUCAAUUGAUAAUCGGUCGCAACGGAGUCAAAAUAAACAUAUCAUCAUCAUUUGUAUUUAAUAUACAAGGGCUGCCUUCCAUAAUCAUCGUUAUAAAGCCAUAAAUAUGCAUCAAUUUGACUUAAGAUUUUUGCCAAGCUGGGUUGCCUGGCUCCUGUGCUUACCCCUAUGUUCCCGAUUGUUCGACUAGGCGGUAAAGGGAGCACCUCUGUGAUUGUCACUACCGGGUCAUCCGAGUUAGUACCUCAGACUGGGUGAAGCCGAAAGCUAGCGAUCUUAAAGGAUCACAUUGGUCAGCAACGACGAAAGUAAUUUUUUUGGUUCAUUAAUACCACAGAGUUCGGGAACUUUCCCCGAACUAAAUCCUCAAUAUUUUCCUCCCACAUUGAUUGGAGGUGAGGUUUCAUGAUCAUGAUAAGCAUGAUGACCCAAAGAAAGGAACCGAUAGUGGGACUAUUUUCCUUGGAAGAUGUUUCUUACAUUAAGUAAUAUAACAUAUCUCUCCGCGUACCUUUGUUUAUAAAACCGUAUGGCCGGAUUGCCUUGUUUUCCAUAAAUCUUUUCCCUUAUAAUGGCUUUAUAAAGUAGGACAAACACUCCCCGGCUUCUGGAUGAGGAGGUUGAAGCCGAUGGUCGGUCAACAAAGUUUUGUACAAUGCGGAUCCGAGCAUUAAUGAUGUAAAGUACUUGGAUACGUAGAAUCAUUACACAUAAUUUGUGGUUUUACUCUGGAUAUCGAUCCUUAAUUUAGCCACCCGUGCCCACAUUAAGGCUCGGGGGCUACUGGGCUUCGGGCUUAUCAUUCACUAAUAUUGAAAGGGGCGUAUCAAUCCCCUGGUCUGGUGUUUCCACCCGACCAGUGUCUCGGGGGCUACUGCAUUGACAAUCCAAUGAAGAAAAUUUAAAGUGCAAUAUAGCUUUCGAGGAGAUUAUGAUCCUCAGGUUGGUCGGCCGCACCCAACCUGAGUCUCGAGGAAUUUGCACACCGGUUUUUGUGUCCCGAAGUAUUCUGCCGAGCUAGGAGUUGAUCCUCAGGCCGAUUUUGUGAAUCAACCUGAGUCUCAGGGGCUACUGGGAUCAGCGGUCUUAUGUCAUCCUUCAGGUGCAUCUCGGGUUUUAGACCGAUGCACACCUUGAGGGCUACUGGCUAUAUAUCUCAGCAGAGAAUAAAUUGCACCAAUAAAAAAUAUUCACAAAAAAUCGGCCCGCAGUCGGGGUGGCGCACCACCUCGGAAGCAGUCCGACAUAAAGCUUGGGUGCUAGGGGCUGGCUCCAUAGAGGGCAUUUCCGGCAUUAAGCUUGGCUAAACUCCUUCAACUUUUUUGAACCAAGGUGAUUUAUGACACCUCGGAUAUAGUCCGGCGUUGGAGCUCGGAUACAGUCCGGUGUUGGAGCUUGGACAUAGUCCGGCGUUGGAGCUCGGAUACAUUCCAGUGUUGGAGCUUGGAAGCGGUCCGGCGUUGGUGCUCGGCUGCAAAAGAUACCUCGAAUGCAGUCCAGCGUUGGAGCUCGGACGCAAGAGGACGCUGCAGCCCGGGAACAACUUCAAACCCGAGGUGUGGCAUAAAAAUAAAUGGCAUUGAUAAAUGCCGAGAACUUAAAGGGGUGUAACACCCAUGAUGCGGCUAUAUCUCCCAUGUAUCGGAGCACGACUUAGAGGCAUAACCGCAUUGUAGGCAUGUCGCAAGAGGGGUAAUCUUUACACAUCCCAUGUACUGAAUAAGAAAGAGAUACAUAGUUGGCUUACAAUCGCCACUUCACACAAUACAUAAAUAUAGCAUUACAUAAUCCAGAAUACAAUCAAGGUCCGACUACAGAACCAAAAUAAAGAAAGACAACCCCUAAUGCUAGAUCCCCGAUCGCCCCGACUGGGCUCCACUACUGAUCAACUAGAAAACGAAACAAGACAAUGAACACGAUCUUCAUCGAGCUCCUCCUUGAGCUCGGCUGCGUCAUCUGCACUGGUAUUAACAACACCUGCAACUGGUUUUGGAAGUAAUCUGUGAGUCACGGGGAAUCAACAAUCUCACACCCUCGUGAUCAAGACUAUUUAAGCUUAUGGGUAGGAAAGGGUAGUGAGGUGGAGCUGCAGCAAGCACUAGCAUAUAUGGUGGCUAACUUACGCAAAUGAGAGCGAGAAGAGAAGCAAAGCACGGUCGUGAAUCUAGAAGUGAUCAAGAAGUGAUCCUGAAACUACUUACGUUCAAGCAUAACACAAGAACCGUGUUCACUUCCCGGACUCCGCCGAGAAGAGACCAUCAUGGCUACACACGCGGUUGAUGCAUUUUAAUUAAGUUAAGUGUUAAGUUUUCUACAACCGGAUAUUAAAUAAUUCCCAUCUGCCCAUAAUCGCGGGCACGGAUUUCGAAAGUUCAAAACCCUACAGGGGUGUCCCAACUUAGCCCAUCACAAGCUCUGAUGGUCAACGAAGGAUAUUCCUUCUCCCAGGAAGACCCGAUCAGACUCGUAAUCCCGGUUACAAGACAUUUUGACAAUGGUAAAACAAGACCAGCAAAUCCACGCGAUGUGCCGACAAAUCCCGAUAGGAGUCGCACGUAUCUCGUUCUUAGGGCACACCGGAUGAGCCAAACGUCGGGCUGGCAUAGACCCUGGUUGCCCAGGGGGCGCCGGACAUCGCUCAGGUUGGACCAACACUUAGAGAAGCACUGGCCUGGGGGGGGGGGGGUUAAAAUAAAGAUGACCCUUGAGUUUGCAGAAAGGAAGGGCUUAGGUGGCAAAUGGUAAAACCAAGGUUGGGCCUUGCUGGAGGAGUUUAUUCAAAGCGAACUGUCAAGGGGUUCCCAUUAUAACCCAACCACGUAAGGAACGCAAAUCAAGGAACAUAACACCGGUAUGAUGGAAACUAGGGCGGCAAGAGUGGAACAAAACACCAGGCAUAAGGCCGAGCCUUCCACCCUUUACCAAGUAUAUAGGUGCAUUAAUUAAAUAAGAGAUAUUGUGAUAUCCCAACAAUAAUCAUGUUCCAACAAGGAACAAACUCCAUCUUCACCUGCAACUAACAACGCUAUAAGAGGGGCUGAGCAAAGCGGUAACAUAGCCAAACAACGGUUUGCUAGGACAAGGUGGGUUAAAGGCUUGACAUGGUAAUAUGGGAGGCAUGAUAUAGCAAGUGGUAGGUAUCGCGGCAUAACAAAAGAGCGAGCAACUAGCAAGCAAAGAUAGAAGUGAUUUCGAGGGUAUGGUCAUCUUGCCUGCAAAUUCCUCCGAGUUGACAAAGGCUUGAUCCUCGUAAGCAUACUCAACGGGUUCCUCGAACACGAACUCAUCUCCCGGCUCUACUCAAGGCAAGUACACAAGCAAAGGAAACCACAAUCAACCACGGUGCAAUGCGCAAUCAACAUGAUGCAAAACAUGGCAUGAUAUGCGGGAUGUGAAAUGCAAUGCAUAUGCAUACUCCGGAAGGGAAAGAUCGAACCAGGCCUCAACUUGGCAAACCAAGUGCGCCGCUGGAAAGAUGAGUUGAGUUUGGUCAAAAUCGAUAUAAAGAUCACCGGAAUCGGAUGCACGGUUUGCAAAUGGCAAGCAAAACAAGAAUGGCACAAUAUGCGAUUAACAGCACGAUGCCAUCUAGAAUGCAACCAGAAACUAAGCUACUGCACUCCAAUAUUGCAACAAAGCACAUGGCAAAGAUGUACUCAAGAUGCUUGACAAAAGAUGAAUACUGAGCUAUAGCUAAAUCACACAAGAGUAGGUUCAAACAAGCAUGGCAAAAGGGCAAAAGAUAUCAACAUCACAGACUUAGUGAAAAUACUAACAUGUCAGGAUUUAACAUCAGGAAUCAAUGUUUAGAGCAAGAUAACAACAUGCUACAGGAACAGUACAUAGCAAUACAAGUCAUGGCAUGAAUCUACUCAAAGCAUAUAACAAAAGUCGCUUACUGACCAUAAGCCAAAAAGGACCAGAAGAUAUGAUGGCACCCAUGUAAACAUAGCAAGUUUCGUUAACAGAUUCAGACUUGGCAGAAAACUGGACAUGGCAUAAACAGAAUUACAAAGGCAUGUUUGCGAGCUCGACGCACUCAACACAAAGCAUUUCAUGACAAACUAAGCAUACACCCAUCAAGAAGACAUGAUCAAGAAUCUAAACAUGGCAAGAACAAUCUCAUAGCAUGCAUGGAUCAACUACAACAACCUUGGCAAAAUUGAUUAACAUGUAAACAAUCCGCCAGGAACAUUUUAUAGCAAAAGUAGAGCAAGAUUGAGUCAUGCUAGGGUAAUCCAUAAAUGCAAACAUGGACAUGGAUGUAUAGAGCACAACCAUAUGCUCAAAUCAUCCUUACUGAACAUACUCAAAAGAAGCAUGGAUCACUCUGUAGCAACACGAAUACAUGGCAUUAAAAUAACAACAGGGAAAUGACUUAGUGAAAAACUAAGUCUCUGAAAUCAGCAAUAUCACGAGAGCUACUUUGCAUGCUUGUGCUAGUCACCACAUUGAUCACAAAAAUACAUGGCAUACACCCCUGUAAAGAUGGCAUGGCAUAGCCCAAAACACAUGUAGAGCUCAUGACCAUAUGCAGCACACAAUAAUCAUGGCAAAAAUGACAAAAGCUCACAAUCUGAUAAGAAUUAGCACCUAACAUUUUAUAACACUCUUGCAACAGUCAUUAGGGCAUCAAGAUGGACUCAAACAAGCAUGGUGCAAUGGAACAAAAUGAAGAGCUCAACCAGAUGAACAUUUUGAUAUAUUAUACAUGAAAAUGGAUCUACGGAUGAGGAGUUAUGGCACGAUGAAGAUGGCCUGAAAAUAAUGCAGAAAAAGACUUAGAGAAUAUGUGGACCUCCGGAUCUGAGAUCUAGGGUUGGCGCGGAUCCCGAGGUUCACCGGAGUCUUGACGGGAACUGACGUCGGAGAGGAAGGAGAUGACCGAGGCGGUGCGGGGAGGCGGCCGGCGAGGUCGAGGCGGCCGGAUCCGGUCCGGCCCGACCGAAUUUGCGACGCGCGGGCAAUGUUGCGGGGGCGGCGGGCGCGCAGGAGGCGNNNNNNNNNNNNNNNNNNNNNNNNNNNNNNNNNNNNNNNNNNNNNNNNNNNNNNNNNNNNNNNNNNNNNNNNNNNNNNNNNNNNNNNNNNNNNNNNNNNNNNNNNNNNNNNNNNNNNNNNNNNNNNNNNNNNNNNNNNNNNNNNNNNNNNNNNNNNNNNNNNNNNNNNNNNNNNNNNNNNNNNNNNNNNNNNNNNNNNNNNNNNNNNNNNNNNNNNNNNNNNNNNNNNNNNNNNNNNNNNNNNNNNNNNNNNNNNNNNNNNNNNNNNNNNNNNNNNNNNNNNNNNNNNNNNNNNNNNNNNNNNNNNNNNNNNNNNNNNNNNNNAGGCGCGCUGGGGAGGGCGCGUGGCACGACGGGAGUGGCCGCGGGCGAAGCUGGCGGCGGCGCUGGCCAUUGGGGGCGCGACAAGUGGUGGGGAGUGGUGGCCGGACACGUCCGUCGGUGGAAGAAAUGUCCGGCGGCGGCGGGAAGAGGGAGAGUUAGGGUUCAUCCGUGAAAUUUCGGGGAGGCACACAUAUAUAUAUAGGUAGAGGGAGCUAGGAGAGUCCAAAAGAGGUGCGGUUUUCGGCCACGCGCUCGUGAUCGAACGACCGAGAGGAUGGAUGGGGUUUGGAUGGGUUUUGGGCCACUUUGGAGCGGUGUUGGGCUGCAACACACACGAGGCCUUUACAGUUCCUAGUUAACCGUUGGAGUAUCAAACGGACUCCAAAUGGCACGAAACUUGACAGGCGGUCUACCGGUGGCGAACCAAGGCCUCUUGGCAAAUCUCGGUCCAAUCCGAGAACAUUUAACACCCGCACAUGAAAAGAGGCAAAAGGGGGCGCCAUAGGACGUAGGAGUGUCGGAGCGCGAAACGGACAAUGGGGAAAAUGCUCAGAUGCAUGAGACGAACACGUAUGCAAAUGAGAUGCACAUGAUGACAUGAUAUAAAAUGCAUGACGCGCAAACAAAUGACAAGGCAACAAUAGCGAAUAACUGGAAGACACCGGGCGCAAUGGUCUCGGGGCGUUACAAGGGGCUCCUCGGAUACCCGACGUGUAAACUCUUCAGAUUUACUUCGGCGAUCCUCAAGAUCGAAGAUGGGAAGAUUUGUUGAACCAAUUUUCAAGACCGACGACCGAAGAUGAAGAACAGUUCGGAAGAAUCGAGGAGCGUCCCCAACUUGAAGACCGGUUCAGGGGGCUACUAACGGUGUCCUGGACUAGGGGGUAGUCACCACGUCGUCUCCCAAUCAGUUGGAUUAGGCCGAGGACCCCCAUGGCCGUAUGCUCAUGGGCCAGUUCGGAUAGCCGAUCUAUACACAAGGAAGAUUCCACAAGACUUGGUGAUCAAGACAAGGACUCCUCUCCACCGGUGUAUUCGACUAGGACUCUUGUUAUCCUAGGCCUCUAGUACAUUAUAUAAGCCGAGGCCAGGCUAGUUGGUAGAUUAUUAUGACAUUACUCAUCAUACCUGUAGGGUUUAGACCACAACAUACGAUCUCGAGGUAGAUCAACUCUUGUAACCCCUAUACUCAUCAAAGUCAAUCAAGCAGGAAGUAGGGUAUUACCUCCAUCAAGAGGGCCCGAACCUGGGUAAACGUCGUGUCCCCUGUCUCCUGUUACCAUCGAUCCUUAGACGCACAGUUCGGGACCCCCUACCCGAGAUUCGCCGGUUUCGGCACCGACACCGCGCUCGAUGCACUCCUUCUGUGCUUCGCAGAACUCGGGGGCUUCCUUGUCCUGGAUCCAGCACCAAUCCCCUCUCCAUUCAUCCCACCUUUCACGCUGAUUAUCAGGGAGGUAAUCCCUAAUCCUCCUUGCCACGCGUGGCAUCCAGCUGAUGAUUCCGAAAGGUUAACUUUGCUCUCCACCCGCGGGACGAAGUAAUGCCAGAACAGAUCCACAUUGGGCGUCAUGCUGACAAAAUUCUCGCACAAAUGCCUGAAAAUGGCCAUGGUCGCCAUUUCAUUUGGCGUGAAGUCGAUGAGGUGGAACCCGUAGAUGUUCAGGAUUGCCUCGAAGAACUAAGAGAAGGGAAACAGAGGCCUAAGAUGAAGUUAGUGCUGAAGAACCGAUAAGAAUCCGAUGGAUCUUCCUCCCCCGCUUCAUAAACUACGGGUGCUCCAUGCCCUUUCUCAAUGGGCCUCCCCCACAAAUACCCAUACUUUGCUUGAAGAACGGGGCCACUCAAGGUAGAAGGGAUGAAGACGAUGUCUUCGCUCCGUUUCUUGUUUAGCUCAGCCGACCUCUUGCUUCCCUCGCUGGCAGCCUCCUUCGCCGCGGCCGUCGGCUUUCUCUUCUCCGUGGGUUUCUUCCCCAUUCCUGCAGCAACACGAAGGGGGGAGGGAUUCUAUGGGGAGGGCGGCGACAAAAGGAAGAGCGAGGGGAGGAAUUGUCGCUUGGCUUGUGGAGAAAGAAGGUGGGGGAGUGAAGUUGGAGACAAGUGAAUCGUGCCACUUUGUNNNNNNNNNNNNNNNNNNNNNNNNNNNNNNNNNNNNNNNNNNNNNNNNNNNNNNNNNNNNNNNNNNNNNNNNNNNNNNNNNNNNNNNNNNNNNNNNNNNNNNNNNNNNNNNNNNNNNNNNNNNNNNNNNNNNNNNNNNNNNNNNNNNNNNNNNNNNNNNNNNNNNNNNNNNNNNNNNNNNNNNNNNNNNNNNNNNNNNNNNNNNNNNNNNNNNNNNNNNNNNNNNNNNNNNNNNNNNNNNNNNNNNNNNNNNNNNNNNNNNNNNNNNNNNNNNNNNNNNNNNNNNNNNNNNNNNNNNNNNNNNNNNNNNNNNNNNNNNNNNNNNNNNNNNNNNNNNNNNNNNNNNNNNNNNNNNNNNNNNNNNNNNNNNNNNNNNNNNNNNNNNNNNNNNNNNNNNNGCUUCAGAAAGUUGCCAUUUUUCCUUAACUACAACAGUCCAACGACCCCACGAUGCGCAGUAAUUGCACGAAGUGGACGUGGGAUUGACUAGUCACCAUGGCAAACCGGUGUGCAGAGCCAUAUCCUGCCACGUGUCUGUGCAUUUUUUGGGGCCUAACCCAACGUGCCGCGCAACACAUGUGGCUCAGGCCCAGGGGCUUAUGUCGGGGAAAAUAUACAGGGGUAUAUGUUUUCCCUUGACUCGUGCACAGACAAGCCAAGACCGAGUCAAGAUAUACAAGAAACCAAGAGAUUUGAAGGAUCAACAUGCAGAUCAGAGGGACCAAGAAUGAACCAAGCACUACAAAAGAAAUACACUUCCGUGAUGAUACGUGUUUGUCACAGUAGGUCAUGUUUUUGUCAUGCAUGUACGUCCAUGAUGAUUUUAUGACAGAAUCAAGAUUGUCAUACCCGUGCUAUCGUAGAAGUGUUCCACGACAUUACCAAAAUUAUCAUCACGGAAGUGUCCACUUCCGUGAUGAUAAAUCGCGCAUCAUAGAAGUGCUUUCGUCAAGGGUGACCGACACAUGGCAUCCACCAUAACGGGUCGCCGUUAAGCUGUCGGGUUCUGGUUUGGAUCUGAUAAACCAUUAACAGCCCAGACCAAUGGGCAUUUUCCACAUGUAAAAUCAUUAUUGGCUAGAGGAAACACAUGUCGGCUCCUCGGUGGGCUAGAUGUCGUCCGUCCAUUGGAGGAGACAUGCCUAUGAUACGUCGACACGUGGCAGGGCCCAACAGAGGCCGAUAUAGGUUAAAAGGCCGGCCCAGUCAAAGGCCCGUACUACUUACUCAUGUACUAGUGGGCUAGCCCAAUAACAGCCUGUUUAAGAAUGGCCCAUUUACGGCCCAAAACAAGAUCUGGCUCGUCAAUUGUUGGCCGAUUAUUUGGGCCCAAUUAUGGCCCAGUGACUUUCGACCUAUUAGAGGCCCGAUGUAGACAUGGGCCCAUUUCAGCCUGGUGUGUCUUUUGGCCUGGGAAUGGCUCAUGCUGCCCAUGGGCCAUAUAUGGUUCGACGCAACAUCCAGCCCACUAACGUCCCGUGAUAAAUGUAGCAAUAGUUCAGACCAACGUGACUUUGGGCCUGUUAAAGGCCUGUAGUAUAAUUCGGCCCGUUGAUGCCUGUACUAAGCUUUCGACCUCUUAAAGGCCCAUGAUAUCAAUGGGCCAACUAAGGCCUGAGAUAUGUUUCGGCCUGGUAACGGCCCAUCAUAUAACUGGGCCAAAAAAGGACCGGUCUACAUUUCAACCUACCGAAGGCCCGUCGACGACUAGUGAAAAUUGAGGCCCAACAUGCAUUUCGGCCUGCUAAAGGCCCAUGGUUUCUUCUGGGCCGUAAUAGGCCAGCGGAAUAUUCAGCCUGUUAAUGGCCCAAAGCUACAUGGGCCAAACUAAGCGCUGGGUCCACAAAAGUCCCAACUAAAAUUUGUGCCGAAUUUAGGCCGGAGUAAGUUGUCGGCCUGGUGAAAAGUGUCGUGGAAUUGUCACGGCAGAUGUCCUAGUGUGAGGACUUAGUCGUGGAGCCAUCACACUAGGUUAGCUUAAGGGGGUUAAACAGAACAAAGGACACAGGAGUUUAUACAGGUUCGGCCCCUUGCAGUGAAGGUAAAGGACUACUCCAGUUGAGGUGGUAUUGCUUAAGUCUCGAUUACCAGAGAGCGAAUAUGAUUGACCUAGCUUUCGAUUUGUUGUUUCUUGCCCUAAGUCGUGUUGGGUAACGCAGUAAAUUUAAAACUUUUACCUACGCACACGCAACACUACAAAAAAAUACACUUCCGUGAUGAUACGUGUUUGUCACAGUAGGUCGCUUUUUUGUCAUGCAUGUACAUCCAUGACAAAUUUAUGACAGAAUCAAGAUAGUCAUACCUGUGCUGUCGUAGAAGUGUUCCAUGACAUUACCAAAAUUAUCAUCACGGAAGUGUCCACUUCCAUGAUGAUAAAUCACGCGUCACAGAAGUGCUUUCGUCAAGGGUGACCGACACGUGGCAUCCACCGUAACGGAACACCGUUAAGCUAUCAGGUCGGGUUUUGGAUUCGAUAACCCAUUAACAGCCCCGACCAAUGGGAAAUUUCCACGUGUAAAAUUCUUAUUGGCCGGACGAAACACGUGUCAGCUCUUCAGUGGGUCAGAUAGGCGCCUAUGAUAUGUCGACACGUGGCACGACCCAACAAGUUUAAAUGGGCCAGCCCAACUGAAGGCCCACAAGAUUUUGUGGACCAUAAUGGGCCGGCCCAGCUAAAGGCCCACAAGAUUUUGCGGACCGUAAUGGGCUGGCCCAGCUAAAGGCCCACAAGAUUUUGCGCGCCAUAAUGGGUCGGCCCAGGUAAAGGCCCACAAGAUUUUUGUGUGCCAUAAUGGGCCGGCCCAGGUAAAGCCCACAAGAUUCUUGCGGGUCAUAAUUGGCCGGCCCAGCUAAAGGCCCACGAGAUUUCACCGACAUUAAUGGGCCGACCCAGCUGUAGGCCCACAAGAUUUUGAGGACCCUAGUAGGCCGGCCCAUUAACUGGCUGCCAUGUUUUGGGCCAAAUGCCGGCCCAUAUUUGAUCCGGUCCAUUAAUGGCAUGCCACGCUCCGGGCCUAAUAGUGGCCCAUAUGAGAUCCGACCUGUUAAAAGCCUACCACAUUCUGGGCCAAAUUACGGCCCAGAUCAGGUCCGGCCCUUUAAGAGGCUUUGGGCUCAAUUAUGGCCCAUAUCAGAUUCGUACCGUCAACUAGACACUAUACUUUUGGGCUCACUUGCUAAAGGCCCACUUAGUAAUUCGACCUAAUAUUAGUUUUGGCCUGUUAAGUGCCCGUUUAAAAUUUCGGCCCUAUAUUAAUUUCGGCCUGUUAAAAGCCAGUCAUAUAGUUGGGCCAAACUACGGCCCUGUUUGCAUCUGGCCUGCUCGCAGCCAAUAUCUGAUUGGGCCAAACAAGGACCGAGACAAUUUUGGCCUGUUAAAAGCCCGUGAUUUUAUUCGCACAAUCAUGGGUCGGGGUUCAUUUCAUGCUGCUGCGUAACUAGUAUGAAUUAAGAACAAAGCUACUCUAUACAAUAAAGAAAUUACGGCAUAGUAACUUAGAAUAAACCUACACUAUACAAUAAAGGUUUUAAGGUAUAUUACAUCCACUAGGCAUCUAAGUUCACCACCAGUGAUCAUAAAGCGCAACGUAGAAGCAGAUUACAAAAACUGGGCACCAUUGCAGCGUAACAAAAUAAUACUGAACCGAGACCACUUCGAAGAUAGUUCAAGAAAGGUUAGCCUUGCGGGGGAACUACUGUGCAGGCUGUUGAGCAAGGCCAUGAGACCGGCCUAGCAUGUCGGUCAUAGCUUCCAGGUGUAGCUGUUUAGCAAUGAGGUUCUCAUUGGUGUUCUCCGCAAUCUUUCUUAGAGAUAGGACUUCAAGUCGAAGUUGAGUUGCAGAAUGCCUUUCUGCUAGAACUUGGGACUGAAGAAGUCGAACUAAUUCAGACAACGAAUUCUGUGAGCUUGUCUGACUGUUAGUGUCAAGUAACUCGAACACUGCAUCAAGACAAGACUUUGGGGUUGUCUCGCUAUCUUCAAGAUGUUUUGCCUUCUUUGCUGUAAUAUAUGUUGGGUUUGUCUCACAGCCUUCAGCAGACUUGUGCAUGCCAUCAGACAUUCACCCCGAAACAAAGCAGAGAGAUGACAUGUUUUCCACGUGUAUAAACAAAGAUGAUAACUAUUCUGUCAAUUCUAUCCAAUUUCAAAUUAGAAAAUAAAGAGUAUGUUCAAAAUAUCAAUAGCAUAAUUUGGCAUUGUUCAUAAUGCGGGGAGCUUCACCACACUACUGGAUUACCAUGUCAACAUAACAAGCAUAGAUGAAGGGCAAAGAAAAUCAUUGUAUCUAUUUUGGAUAAUGUGCAUGGCAUGUUGUUCAUAUCAUCAGCUACAUCAGUAAGAUAAAACAGGAGAUGACAAGGUGCAAACGUGAGCUGUUUCACCACACACUGGAUUAUAGAUCCACAAAACAAGCAUACAUAUAGGGAGUAUUAAGUAAUGUGCAUGGUAUGAAUAAGGAAUUUGGUUUUACAAGUAAAACUUAGAACUUACGGUUCUUACGAACAUGCAUUUUGGUAGAAACAACAAACUAAACAGCAGUAAACGAUAGGGAGUAUGAGCAAAUUAAACAACAAUUGAGGAUAAAGGCUUUAGAAGGACCGACUUACAUUAACAGUUAACACCGGCUUUAUAAUGCCCUUCUCCAUGUCAAGGGAAGGAUAACUCAAGAAUUUCAGCACAAAAUCUUCUUCAUAAGCAUUGCCUGUACUCUACAUUUUGUAGAGAGUAAUUAUAGAUAUGAUAAUACUGGAAGGGGUAGAGGAUAAUGAAGAUAAGAUGCAGAUUGAUGCUACAUAAUCAACUACCAAUCCCUGGAAGUACAAGCGUUACAGGACAAAAUGUACUGACAAGAGCAAUGGGCUACACUUCUGCACUGGCAUUGUCUGUGUAUUCUACUUGUUGGUAAGAUUAAAUAUAGAUCUGAUCUUUUUUAGUAAAUGGUGGGCGAGGGAGAUAAGAUGCAGAAUGCUACAAAAUGAACCAAUCCCUCUUCCCAAAAUACAAGAGUGUUUUGAACACUGGUGUACAGUACAAAACGUUCUUAUAUUAUGGGACGGAGGGAGUAGCUGUUAAUGUAAGUACAGUGAUAGACCACGUUCAAUCCUUACAAGAGGACUGCAGAGCUAAACCUCUUCAAAAGCAUUGGGUUGAUUCUAAAUUUAUGUAAGAGUCCAUACAGAUGUUAUAAUGUCCACCAAAUGGAUGAUUACGAGGCUAACAUGUGCAGUGAUGCUACAUAAUCAAACAGCUAUGAAAGUAAAUAUGGUCAUACAGGGCAAGAGGUACUCACAAGAGCAAUGCAGUGUGCAGUAUAGUUGCGAGAUUCUGUGGUCCCUUGAGAACGAAUGUUCUUCUGCUAACAGUUUUCGUACAAGUGGGACAUUAAGGCAAAUGCAGAAAUGUAGUUCAAAUUGUGAUGUGAUAUCAUAGACAGUACCUUACGCUGCAGCCGAGACCAAUGUGUAACAAGAUUAUUCCAGUCACCAUCGGAUAAAAGUAGCACCGGAGACUUUAUAGAAAUUUCGUUCAGAGGCUUGCCAUCGAAGUGCGCUUGCCUUAGGUAGGAACGAUACUUCAUCAACGAGUGCUUGAAAAGCGCAACCAACCCUUGCUCGUCAUCACAAUCCAGUUUGCGCCUCGCCUAUUUAAAAGAAUGAAAUCUUGUGUCUUCUGUCAGCAGAAACAUAUGCGGUAAUGAUCAUGAAUAACAUUAGUACAUUACUUACGCGUAAGUUGUGGAGGAAGACUGGAAAUUGUUCUGUGUCUGCGGUAUAAUCUUUCCAUGAGGGAAAGAUGCGCACAAAGUUCCUGACAACAACAUAAGCUUCGUCUUCUGAACUGGGAAGAAAUGGAACAGGGGUCCUAUUUGCUGCAAUUGGGGCUCUCUCUGGUUCGAAAAGGGACUUGGCAACUGGAUUUGGUGUACUCUUUGCUGGAUUGGGGGUUUUGCAUCGUACAGCUGGUGCUAUGUCAACUGGCAUAAUCAUACUGUUUGCUGCAGUUGGGGUCUGCUGAGUUGGGGCAUCAGAAAUGACCAGUAUAGUAGGGCUAGAGUCUGCUAGAGUUGGGGUAUUUUGUGGGUCAGGUGAUAUUGCAACUACACCUAAUGGGCUAUUUGAUUUAUCAGGUGCCACUACCUUUUCCAAGUACUUUGCUUGUGCUCCUCCACGAUCAGCAAUCACCCUCUUCCUUUUGAACGUCUGAUACACAAGAAUAGCAUUUGAAUGGAUAAAUAUGGUAUGAUGACAGAUGGAAUAUGUACUAAAAAUGGAUAGGCAGGCGUAUUCACAUACACGAUGUGUAAACUAAGCUAAUGGCAGUUCAACAAAGUAGAAGCAAUGCAAAGCAUCAGUUGCAAGAUAUGUGCGAACAAUGUAACCUUGGAAAGUUAGAGCAAGUACCUUGAUGGGUGAAUAAGAUAGGGCAUCUUCCUCUGACUCCUCCACUAGGGAGCUACAUUGACUUAGGUCUCCCUGUAGCUCAGAAUCACUGUUAGGAUCAUAUUUUGAGCACGAAUCUGUAGGUGGAGAGUGUUUGCAUUGCAUUGCAUCCAGACUUGAUUUCAGUCCCUUAAUGCCAAGUUUGACAGCCAUGGCAUUGUUCUACUUUAUUCUUUUCAUGCGCACAAGCUCAUAAUCAUUAUGAUGCUGUUCAGAAUCUGAGAUUCAUGAAAACAUAAAAAGUAGCCAGAUUAUCUAUGGAAUGCAUUGCGGUUUCAACUCGGAGAGUGUCUUCCUAUAAACCCAUGCACAUGCAAAGUUCACCUCCCCAACCGUGCUGACCAGACCACACACAGAGAUACACACCCGAGCGGCGAACAUGCAUUUUCGAAACUAAUUUAGGAACAUUUAGCUGACCAAUAAACAACUCUAUUUUAAUAAUAUCAGAUUCGUAUUUGAACAACUAAGCUUGUUUAGCUUGAUGGGUGGAGGAGUGUUAUUAUGAAACGAAGCACGUAUUCUGAUUGUAUAGUGAUCAUAAAAGGGGGAAACCUAAGCAUAUAUUUUUUUAGCAAAAGAGGGUUUCCCCUCUGAUUUCUAUUAAAGAAACCACGACGGAACCAACAUGAUCAGUUAAGCCCUAAGCAUGAUCAAUUAAACCGUAUUAUGGCUGUGCCAUGGCAGAUUUGAAGCUGCAAACCGGAGAAAUGAUAUUUAGCAUCCAUUGUUUGCUUCGAACUAAGAACUAAAUUCUAAGAGCUGAAAAGAAAGUAGAGUAACCAAGUUAAGAUCUAUUUUCUGGUUGAGAUCAAAAAGUUGAGGAGAUAUGAAGUACCACCUCUCUUGCGGCGCCGUGUAGGCAUCGGGGGUGCGAUGGCUGUCGGUGGCGUUGAAGCAGAUCUGCGACGGUAGACAGGUGCAUCGGGGGAUAAGUCCCGUUGCGGUGGAAGAGAAGGUUGUGUGAGCGGCCCCGACAAAGAGGAUGACGGCGCCGAUGAAGCGAGAGGAUGCAAUGCAAGGCUAUUGGUCCAUCACUGUGGAUGAGAAACGUCCAUCUCUAGCAGUGGACGAUGCGGUCUUGGUAGGCGCUCCGGCAUGGUGGAUGACGAUGGCGAUGGAUGUGGUGGAGGAUGGCGGCGAUGGAUGGGGUGGCGGACGGAUGCUGGUGUGGGAAUGGGGUGUUCUAGCGCAGACGGUGUAUGAAUGGGAAAAUGGAGGGAGAGGUACGGGGAACCAUGUUUUUGGGACGUGCCUGUCUGAAAUAUGGGAAAGUUACGAACUUAUCCCCCGUUUCAAAUUUGGACGUCUCGUCGGUUGGAGAUAGGACGGUAAUCUCGCAUCUCCCAAAUAUUUGCCGGUAACUAUUUCGGGCGAGGAGAGGGUGUUUUGCCACCCACGGUUGGCGCCCAUGGUGUAUGAAUGGGGCUGACAGGUAGGGCAGUUGUGUCACGUCUGAUGGAAGUUACACAUCUGCCCCUAUUUAAAAUAUUAGCCUACAUCUAUUUCAGACGAGGAGAGUUUGUUUUGCCGCCCACCGUGUAUGAAUGGGUAAUGGAGGGAGAAACAGAGGUCUUUCGGACGAGCUUGAAUCAAAUGAGUUUUGCCGCCCAUGUUUGACGCCCACCAUGUCGGAAUGGUCUCAGAGGCGGUCGUGUCACGUCUAAUUGAAGUUACUAACCUACCCCUAUUUAGAGCAGUGGAAAUCGGGCCGAUGGAUUGUCCGUGUAAUGGGUAGACAGUAAUUUCCAUCUCCCAAACACUUGGCUUCGGGCAGCCGAUGUGGGAGUGGGCAUUUUGCUGUUUCUUUCAAAUUUUGGGACAAUAAGCAUCCACGUUUACCCUAUCAACUAAAUUCGAAUCCAUUUUGUAUUCCUAUAUGAAUCUUUAUAAAUCAUUCUAUGUGUUUUUUUAUAUCUUCAAAAGGACGACAAAGAUGUAUUCCACUGUCAUACAUGAAUAUGGUUUACAAAUGCCGAUACUCAAAUUCAGAAACUAGAAUCCAGUUUAAGGUGAGUUCGAAUAUUUGGAACACUUCAUGUCCAACUCAAAUGUCACACGCAGCAUAAUGUGUACUCCCAUUUAGAUAUGUACACAAGCGAUGUAUCAAGAUUCAAAUACCGAGUCAAUCAACCAAGAAUGUACAGAACUAACAGACAUAUAAACACUUAUAGAGUAUAUGGAUCAAUAAUAUCAACUAACAUACAUAAGCCAGGCUGCUGUACUUUUUCUUGGCUACAACAACAUCCUUUUUUUAGCCCGCAUCUUGGCCCUUUCUGAUGUGUGCCACUUAUGGUCCAUCUAUGUAACGCCCCGGACACACCCGCCGAUGGUCGUUACUCCUGGCGGGAUCUAGACUGGCCCCACAGAUCAAUACUAGUCUUUUCUGCACACUUUGUCCUCACUCAUGCACACCCGGGAGCAACUUCCCGGUCGGUCACCCAUCCUAACACUACUCCAAGCUGAGCACGCUUAACUUUGAAGUUCUAUCCGAAUGGGCUUCCAGAAAAGAAGGAAUUCCUUAUUGAUAUGAGUAGUCUAUCAUCCCUAAUAAGCCAGGCCAUCACAUACACCCCCACUCAGAGGAACCGACGUCCUCGUCGGGCCACAGGAACGUUCCCUCUUGGCACAUACGUCUGUGCUUCCAGUCCAGUACAUGUGCCAUGCCGUGUGCCACGACGGGUCACAAAUGUCAUGAAAAACAUGACCACGCACCUGUCCGCAACCAUUCGUGUAACCGCGAGGGUCGGCUCUGAUACCAACUUGUAACGCCCCGGACACACCCGCCGGUGGUCGUUACUCCUGGCGGGAUCUAGACUGGCCCCACAGAUCAAUACUAGUCUUUUCUGCACACUUUGUCCUCACUCAUGCGCACCCGGGAGAAACUUCCCGGUCGGUCACCCAUCCUGACACUACUCCAAGCUGAGCAUGCUUAACUUUGAAGUUCUGUCCGAAUGGGCUUCCGGAAAAGAAGGAAUUCCUUAUUGAUAUGAGUAGUCUAUCAUCCCUAAUAAGCCAGGCCAUCACAAUCUAUACUAGUAUUGCUCAAUGCACAUUCAGCCUGAUUGGCAUAUUUGUAGGUUUCGCACAGCAAUCCAAAUGAAAUGUCUCCGAGUCUUAUCAAUUAAUACAGACUUGUGCUCAAAUAAAAUUACAAACAAAAAAACAAAAAAAAACAAUUAUUACAUGAUCUCUAAAACAAAUGGUUUGAUUGAUUACAUGAAUAGACAACACAAAGGUUAUUCAACUAUGGAAAGAACAUUUCACCUAUGAUUUACCAAGUAGGAAUUUAAUUUCCUUUUUUUCUUCAGGACCUUAACAAUCUGGUCAGUCUCAGCUUGCUUCGUUUUGAAAUCCACCAAAUAUUUAAUGGUUGUCCUGAGUACUGCUUGUGAUUGUGCUGUUUGCUUCCUCAACAUGUCAACUUCAUCUCUAAGUGCAGAAGCAGAAUCUCUUUCUACCACUAGUUUAGCCUCUAGAACAUCAGCAGUUGGCAAUUCAUAAUGCACGAUUGGGCCGGUGCCACUGCUGUGGGAUGAUGCAACGUCCAUGGGGACCUCGCUCUUUGAUCUUGGGCUAACCUGUUUUGCCAUUAAAGUUCCGAUUGGAUUCAGAAAAGUUGAAGUUAGCAAAACAUCUCAACUGGGAGUUAUAACAGCAAACCAGUUAAACAAACAAGGAAUUAAAGAGUUUCAAUUGGAUGCUGAAAAGUAGUUAUUAACAUCAUACAUGAAUGCUAGUACGAAUUAAAUGAAAUGCAGGGACUUACGCUAGCUCGUUGUACACGCUCACUGCAGCUCUGCUUGCGCUUGGGAUGUUCCAUGUACAAGUCCAUGUUACCACUUGCUUGGAUGUGCAGGCCUUGUGCUCCUUGCAUCCCCCUCUGCAUUUUUGACACGGCGAAUGGUUGAUCAAAUAAGAGGAAUCGACCUUGAUGUUGUACCGAAGGACAGAUACUUACAAGGUUAUACGGGUGUGCAAGAUGUGUACCAGAUCCCGUAGCGCCGUCAUGCUUCGCUAAAAUAUGGAUUUGCUUGUUUCAGAUGAUAUCUCCAGAAGAAAUAAGAGUUAAGGUCAGAGUUGCAUAGGCGUGUAAGCUAAUAGAGCAGUGAAAGGAUAUCCAAACAUCGUCGGAACAGUGCACAAGGGAGUGAUGUGUGGAUACCUAGUUCGGGCCGGCGUUUGGGCAUGCUCGCCUAGCUAGAGUACGAGUCACUUCAGAGCCGUUGAGGGUGAUGCGCUGGCGUUGGCUGGCCGCACACGGAUGCAGAUCUUGAGGGGCAGCGGAGCACUACGAUGUGGUGGACGAGACCGUUGGUGAAGCCCCAAUGGCCUCAAGGGGCGGAGGUGCGACGAUGUGCUCGGUGAAGUAGCCCCGGUGAGCUGGGAGACGGCAUCGGUGAAGCGCACCUGAUGCGGUGGAACUCGGUGUCUGUGAGGCACGUCAGUUGCGGCAGCCGACGUUGUCGGUGGACCACCCAGUGCGGUGGAUGAGGGUGUAGAUGAGGUAGCUCCGGUGCGGUGGUGAAGCAUGACCGUCGUCUUCGUCGUUGUCGUCCGGCACAGAGGUGGGGAACAGUGAGGAAAGAGACGAGACGAGGGGCGAUUCGAGGGUUGGCGGCGAAUUAGGGAUAUGAGCAAUCUGGGCGCGGAAGGGGACAGUGGAGAAGAGAGAUUUUGCAGGGCUAGAAUUGGGGCCGCCUGAUAUUUCAAUCAGAAACGUGGAAGCGCGAACUUAUAUUGUCGUCGCCCUUUUUUGGGGGGGGGGGAGGGGGGUGGGUGGCUGGGUGCUACGCGUCCGUCCGACACACACGACCACCCCGAUAGGACUAUGCUUCGGUGCCUUAAGGAACCUGCCUUUGUGUCCAUGACAUAUGGGCCCAACAGGUGGCUGGCCCACAUGUCAGUGACGCAAAGGUAGUUGCCUUUAAGGCACCGAAGCAACGUCCACAACGACACGCCCCUGGUUUGCCCGAUGCGCCUACAUUUGAGAAUGCAAACGAAUCUUCUUUCAUUUGCAAACGAAUCUGUAUGUAUUACCAUGCCCGUGUGUUCCAUGCAAUAAUUAGUCAUUCAAAACGAGAUACUCCAUCCGUUCACUUUUGUAAGUCGUUUCAAACAACUUAAAAUGAACUAUUUUGCACAUUGUCUGAAAUGUCUUCAAGGUCUUAUAAAAGUGAACAGAGGGAGUACUAUAAAUUAAUGAAUGAGGAGUUAUUUGAAAAAAAAUCAAAACGGUACCCACGCUAACGUGGAUUAGAGUGUGUCUCACAUAAUUAGUUAUUUGAAUUAGAAUGUCUGUCAUGUAGUUAGUUAUUUGAAUUAGAGUGUGUGUCACAUAGAGAUCUCCAAUUCUAACGUGGAUUUCGCAUUUCACUGUAUCCAUGCUACUUUUUUUAAUACAAAUGCAUAUGUAUAUGAUGAACACCAUGGUAGUGAGAAAACUUUUGGAUGGAUUCAAACAUAUGACCUACAAAAUAGCAUAACAAACUGAGUCAAUGUCAACUUUUCGAAACUUAGUAUGGCACGAAUUCGAAAUAAUUACCUGUAUGCCUGCUCCUCGGUUCAAAUCUUACAAUGUACACCGAAUUGAAACAUCGAUAUUAAGUCUCGUACUAUGUACAUUCAAAUGUUGUUUUUAGCCCCCCCGCACAAACGCUGCAUACUUCCUGUAUCGGUCAAUCUUCCUCUCCUAACCACCUUAGGAAGCUAUCGCUUUCCAACACACGUUCAUUCUUUCUCUCCAUGUUUCGAUCUCUAAGUCUCUCAACUACACAACCCCUUUUUCUACUCUGUUACCAAAUGUAUUUACCUCACACACCCGCCAUUGCACCCCAUGCCGAGCUCUCUCCCCCCCUCUCCCUCUCACCCUCUCGCGCUAAAUACAUGCAUUGCCUAUCUAGCCCCCUAACCUCUCGUGCAUGUGCACGCACACACAUUGUAUAUCUAGGUCACUCCCUCGAGACUGUCUCACUCUUUCUUCCGCACGGCGGGCCACACUCGCUCAAUCUCGCUCUCCUUAUCCAAGUCUCGUUUAACCUCGUUUUCUUUCACACACAAAUGAUAUAUCUCCCUGUUCGGGCCUCGAUCGACACACUCUAUACUCUCUCACGCAGAUUGUCUAUCUAGGUCAGUCCAUCCAAGCCGCCACCACUCUUUCGACCUCAUGGUGGGCCACGCUCACUCAAUCUCUCUCUCUCUCUCCGUAUGUCUCGAUUGACCUUGCUCUUUCUCGGACAAAAACAAUAUAUCACCAUGUUUGAGCCCAAUUCGACCUAUUCACAUUGUAUACUCUCUCAAGCACAUCGUCUAUCUAGGUCACUCUCUCCAACUCGUCUCACUCUUCCGAUCGCACGGCGACCCUAUGUGAUCGGUUGACCUUGCUUCCUCUCACACACAAAAUAUAUCUACACGUCUUCACUUACUGGUGGGUUCCAUGUGUGCUCUCUCUCCUCCCCUUCUGCGUUUAGACGCACGGGCAAACAGGAAGAACUCGCGGGCGAUGUUGCCGUCGACCAUAUCUGGACGCGUUCACAAGUCACGGCACCAGUUUCACGUACUAGCAGCACUAGUCAGUGUGUACGUGCAAUGCACGUUAAUUUGGAUGUAUAUUAAGUGCAUGCGGAUAUUAACUACUAGGAUAUUAUUUGCGUGUUGUCAUGUGAUUAGCACUAUUUUUGGCAUGAAAUUAACUGCACGCCAAAUGUGUUGAGCGCUCGACAUUGAAGCAAUCUAGGUCGUUGGAUGAUAAGGAAUACAUGUGGCUUGAUGACAUUUUAUAUUUAAUUUGAUACGGCUCUAGCAGAACAUUCAAUCGAUCAAACCAUACAUUUCGUUUAGUCUAACUCCGACUUUAAAUUAUACGUCGAUCGAUAUAAAAUAAACGGAAAUGAUAAAUGUUCGAAUUUUAAGCAUGGCAAUCCGAACGUUUUUCAUGGCAAAUUUAGAUUAUGCGGCGGCGGCGGGGGCGUCUCGCGGUGGGAAGCGGCUCCUCUGCCGUGCUCUAUGUGUUGUCGAGCCACUGACCGACGGCGACAGCGGCGUCUUGCGCCGUUGUUGGCGUACUCCUGGACGUUGGCCUAGCUUCAAGGAAGGCCAAAAUGUUCUGGACUUCGGAGCGAGUCGACUGGCGGGAGGAGGCGACUGGUGUUGGUGCAAGAAAGCGAUCGACAGCGGCCAUCCAUGCCGCUGAGGGGGGCACUGGCACCCGCGCGGGGACAGGCGUUGUCAACGACGCGACGGAGACAUUCGUGUGCACGAGCAUCGGCAUGGGCAUGCACGUCAGUGCACGCGCAGGCGCUGGCAGGUGCACGGGCACCGGCACGGGCGUGCGCGUCAGUGCAUGCGCAGGCGCAUGCGCUGGCAAGUGCACGGGUGCGUGAAAGUCGGCGGGCACCUCGUGGAACCCCGUGGGAUUAAGCUCGGCGACAAUGUGUGGCUCCCAUCCCAUCAAUGCCACGGGGAUGGGAGCUGGCGCAGUCGGGGCGACGGGAGCCGGAACAAGAGCGGGGACAUGCGCGGCGUCUUCCCGCAGGGCCAGUUCAACCUCGUCCCAAAGCGCCUUAUGUUCUUGAGACUCCGUCUAGGUGUCUUCGUCAAGAAACUAGAGCACUAAGGGCAGACCAUCGUGAUGCGGCAUGGCGUACGUUUAGGUCAGGCUAGUUGGAGGUAGACGACUGGAGAAUCGGAGAGGAAGAGAGAGGAUUGUAGCGAUACUCCCUCCUUUCCGGUUUAUAAGGCUCAAUUCAAAAAUCUCACCAACCAAGGUAGAUGGUGAGUGGUGGAAUACUUUUUGUAGUUUGCAAAAGCACCCGAUUAAUGCUCUUGUUUUUCUCAAAAAAUAUGUUUACCAAUGCAUUAAUUGCAAUGCAUGCAUGCAUAAAUUACAUGCAUUGGUCAAUUUUCUCUUAAUACUUGCAUGCAAUGAUUUAAUUUACCUUGGAAUAUGAACAUGUGAUGGGAAACAACAAUAUUGAGCCUUAUAAAAUGGAAAAACUAAUAUUUUGAGAUAAGCCCUAUAAACCGGAAAGGAGGGAGUAUCGGGUAGUACGGGGUUGAUUUUAAACUGCGGCGCCAGCGACAUUAAAAAUGGGAGCAGUUGGGACGACGGUGGGCGGCGGAGCCUGGUCAAAGGGCUCGCCUCCCGGUGAGCCUGCACAGCGGUCUGCUCGCAUGCCUCCCUGACAGCCAGUGCAGCGGUCUGCUCGCACACCUCCCAUUGACUCACACGCUUGCUCAGACGGCACCUGCCGAUUGCCGAUGAGAAGCGGGGACUCGUGGCGGCACGUAAACGCCCACGGUUUCAAUAGUGAAAGCGUUCACCUUAACGUGACAGGUCUUUCUUCCAAAAUACCUUGGCUCUUCAUUUGUGCAACUUGUCAUAAGCAGCUUGUCUCAAAUUGAAGAAAAAACUUACGAAGUAAUAUUUGUGCCAUAUCACAUUACCAUGCUUAGUUUCAAGAAUUUAUGCUCACUUUUGGAUUUUUAGAAAUUUAAGAUCCAGGAUUCGAAACAAUAUCAUAACCUGCAUCAUGCAAUAAAUUUUCAAGCUGUACAUCUGCUCUGUUGUAUUUCUUAAAAAGGAUUUGGUCAAACAUUUUGCUUAGUUAGACUUCAGACAAGUUAUAUAUGCAGAGUAAAAGGAUAAUCCCUCCGUACCAGUGCAUUGCCUGAUAUAUUAACUCAAGUACUAGGCACGAACAAACGAGCUCAAUUCUGUGCUCAUCCUGGUGUAGUAGUGGUAGUAGUAGUAGUAGUAGUAGUAGUAGUAGUAGUAGUAGUAGUACUAGGCAAUGCAGUUGACGGGUGACCUUGACGAGCGGCGACCGAGGGAAUUGAACCGUGCUCGGCACGGUAGGUAACAUUGUCUAGUUACUAAAGCAUCCCUCCGUUGUUCAUCGGUAGUCAUGAUGAACCGGGGACAUGAGGGGAAUUUCCUAGGGCUGGAAUUCUGGCCGCCAGAUAUUUCGACUUGAAACGCCGAGGCUCGACUGGUUGGGGUAAUGGGGUUGCCUAAUGUGCGUACCACGCACGCCACCGAAGGACACGCGCCCGCUUUUUUUUAGGAUCAACACGAGCCAAGGUCUGGCUGGUACGCCGUUGGGUCCUACCAUUCGAGAAUACGAAAGGAACCUUUUAAAUUGCCGAACGAAUCUAUGUGUAUUACAAUACCCGUAUUUUCCUUGCAAAUACUAAUCUCAACGUGGUAAUUGAUUUAUGACGAGUUGUUGAAUUAGAGUGAGUUUGUGAUAUAGUGAUCUCAACAUGGAUUUCACAUUUCAUGGUAUCCCUAGUAAGUUUUCCAAUGCAAAUUCAAAUUUAAAAGAUAAAAAAGAUGGAGGUGAUAAAACUUUGUAUGUAUCAAGCAUAUGACCACACACACACACACAGACACACACGCAUGAACACAACAACAAUCCAAUAAGUAUAGUGCAUCUAUUUUUCCAAACCAUGCAUGUAUGACACGAAUUCAAAAAUACUCCUUCUAUUCCUAAAUAUUAGUCUUUUAGAGAGUUCAACAAGUGACUACAUACAGAGCAAAAUGAGUGAAUCUAGACUCUAAAAUAUGUCUAUAUACAUCCGUAUGUGCCAGUCCAUUUGAAGCCUCUAAAAAGACUAAUAUUUGGGAACGAAGGGAGUAAAAUGUAAGACAUCCAUGGUCCUCAGUUCAAUAUUUAAAAUGAACAUGAAACUGAAACAUGAAUAUUAAGUCUAUUACUAGAGUACAUGCAAAUGUUCUGUUUAGGCGGAGCUAUGAUUGUCGGGGGUCAACCCCUCGACCUUAGAUAAAAUUGUGGAGCUCUGUUUAGGGUUGUUUAGAUUAUAUUUGUCCCCACCCUCCCAGCCACCGAUUGGUUAUGCACCCCCACCCCUCCUCCCCGGGAGAAUAUCAUGUGCCCCCAUACCUUAGAUGCUAUAUGCCGAUACGAGUUGCUUGGAGCUUGUAGAUCUGAGAUGUAGCAGCUCACAUGAUGUGUCUUAAUAUUUCUGCAGGAAACCUUGAUGAGUUUGAGAAUUGCACACAAUUUGUACAAAAACUACUUAGAUGCCCUUUGAUCCCAUAUCCAACGACCUCGAAGCUCGUAUCACUGUAGCAUCUAAGAUGAAGGAGGACAUCAUAUUCUCCUGUAUGUAAGAAUAUCAUGUGCUACCACACCUUAGAUGCUUUGGUGAUACAAGCUCUUCGGAGGCGUUGGAUUUGUGACCCAACACCUCCUCGGUGGUUCGAAUGGUUUUUUGCAAAAAAGCCCCAAAAGAGUUCGGCCACUGCUUACAAGCACAAAGACUGCUCAGAUGCCAUUGGAUCUCAGAUCAAACGACCUCCAAGCUCGUAUCACCGUAGCAUCCAAGCUGCGAUAGCACCUUAUGUUUUCUCGCACGGGAGAGUAUGAGGUGCUCCCGCACCGUAGAUUCUAUGGUGAUACGAGUUCACUGAGAUCUAACGGCCCAUAAUAGGAGGUCUGAAUGUUUUUGCAAUAUACGACUGAUAGAGUUUGGGAAAUGCACAGAAAGUACAAGUACUACGCAUGUGCCAUCUGAUCACUGAUCAUACGACCUAGAUGCUCAUAUCACCGUAGCGGGUAAUUAAGCUACGGGGAGCACCUAAUAUGAGCACUGGGGAGCCGUUGGAUCGAAGAUGCAGCGGCACACACGAGGCCUGAAUGUUUUAUUUGCAAAAAAACCUUUGGAGAGUUUGGAAACUGCGCAUAAUUACAAAGACUACUCCCAAGCCAUUGGAUCUCACUUCCAACGGUGUAAAAACUCGUAUCAUGAUAGUAUCUAAGUUGCGGGGUGGAUGUGAUAUUCUAUGCCGCUAUCAUUUUUGUUCGUAAACUUGCAAAAUACGUGUAACUCAUGCCGUUACUUGUCUAACCGCACAAAGUGUUUGUUCAAAAAAACCAUCCUACACUGAAAUAUCGGAACAACACACGGGGGUCCCACUUGUCAUUAAUCAAAUUUGGACCUAAAACUAACAAAUCUGAAAGACGAGAUUCAAACUGGCAACCUGGAAUACAAAGCGUAAGUCGAUAGCCUGAAAAAACGAAUGGUUGUUGGCUUUGUCCCAUAACUUGAUUUUAUUUAUACAGUACUUUUGUUGAGUAGAGUAGAGGGUGUGCCUCGUCAACACAUGCAUGACCGUUGUCUCACUUACUGGUGGGUCCCAGGUCUGCAAUCUCAAUCUCUCUUCUCUCCAUCGUCUAACCUUUGCACGGGCACACACGAAGAGCAGCGCUAGCUUGCCAUGGUGUUAUUACAACUAAAAAAAGCUUGGAAAAUAGAAGAAUCGCCUAGAACAAGAGACGUUGUGGCUGGUCGAGACGGAGCUAACCACAUCUAUCCUCCGUGCCACGUUUGCAUGAUGAAGCUGUGUGGCUAGUGGGGUGUUUUCGACCGACUGGCUGGGUCCCGAGGUCGAACCAUAGGCACUACGUCUGAUACAGUAUAUUUUUACACGCACAUUUUUCCUCCGUGCCGAGACGUGGCACACCCUACCGCGCGGUUUCGGGGUCCUCCCGAGUGGUGCACGCAUAUAUUCUCCCUGACGUGGGACGCCCUACCGCGCGUUUUCUGGGUCCUCCUCGGUCAUAGCGCCGAAGCAAGUAAAUGGGUCGUCAAAUCACGAAAGACCACCUUUCCCGCCGAGUACAUCAGUGAAGCACGGUGGCUAGCUAGUUGGGCUAGUUCGACCGAUUAGCUAGGCCGCCGCCACAUUUGUUUUUUCACCCCUUUUUUAUCUACUUACCGGCAGGUAAAUAUAAAUAUCCACCACGGCGUUGCUCUGGUGUUUGGGUGCGGCAGGAUUUUUAUUUUUUUUGAUUAACAGGAGCAGGCACGACAGGAUUUUUAAUUUUUUGAUUGACGGGAGCAGGCGCGGCAGCAAUUAGUCACGAUGACUCUGCCUAUAAAAACCCACCGCUCCCUGAUGUGAGAAGUCGUCGAUUGGUGUUUUACCGUGGUGAAAACCAAAAGAUUCCCCGCUCCCUCCACCUUCCCGUAGAUUGCAUUGCCUUUCAGCCGUUUCGCCCCCUUUGCUUCCUCUCCCCAUUGCUUCUACCUGGUGCCAUGGCGGCGCAACAGAUCACAGAGUCUGAGGUGAGGCUCCUGACACAGGAGCUCCAUGCCAAGGAUGCGGAGCUCAGGGCCAAGGACGUGGAGCUCUGUGAGCUCAAGGAGGAGAGGAGUGCCAUGCUACUCCGUUAUGUGCGGGAGUUCAUGGAGCUUCAAAAGCGGCAGGCGUCCACCACAAAGAUGCUUGAGGCGUCGGCGGUGUUGCUGCAGAAAGCGGGAGAUACGAUAGGCCGUCAGGGGAGCCGGCUGGAGCGCGAGCGGGUCGAUCAUGACGAGGUCCAGGAUCGCCUCAGCCACUUGGUGAACCAAGUUGCCACACACGUGUUGCGGCUGCGCGAUGCCUACCGUCGUGCCAGCGCGACGAUGCCGGCCAUCGGGCUAAACCCGUUCGACCACCCGGUCGACUUCAACGAGCUGCGGCUUCCUGACCUGGUUUCCUUCUUCAACUAUAUCUCCAAGGAGCUGAGCCGUCUCCGCGCGAUGGUGGGGGCUGAGCUGGACAAGGAGGGGUUGCGGGCUGCCGUCGCCGUUGCCGGGCGAAUCCUUUCAGGGCUCCGUCAUCGGAAUCCAUUCGUGCCAUUGGACGCCGUCUUUGACGAGCUGGCUCCCGUCGACCGGGAGCGGGCUCUGCGGGCAGUUGCACCCUGCAUCACCAACGUCGUGCGCCUCAAGAAGCAGAGGUACUUCAGUGGUGUUUAGGCACCCUCUGCAUGGGCAUGUCCAUGUCUCAGCGCAACAUGACCGUUGGAUCAAACUCAGACGAUGCAGAUCAGUCACUGUAGCACAAAGCGUGUGGGUGUGUUUGGUUGCAUUCUCAUCUCAAUAUAGUUGUUUCCUCUUUGUGUAUUUGUUACAUAUAGGAGUAGUUGACAUGCGCACAACAUCAUUUGUUAUUGUCAUAUCUUACUACACUAGCAACAAGAUUGUGUAGUACUGACGUAUGAACCACUGCACAUGCCUAGUAGUAGGAGCACUGUGUAUGUUCAAGUGGCUGCCAUGUUUCGCACUCCUCCGUCGUAAGAGUGGAAACGCUUGCUGUAAUCAUUUUUUUCUUUUGAAAAACAGUGGACACGCUCUACCGUGCGGAUCCUCCUCUAGCCAUGCACUAAAUUACUCACUUUCGCCGACGUGUGGGACAACCAGCAUCGGGGUCCACCAGCCAUGCACUAAAUUACUCUGUAGUAGAGUGACGGUAGACUACCCCGAUCGAAGCGCCACAGUAAUGCCCAAUGAGCCGUCAAAUCACAAAACCCCCUCCUUUCCAACAGUAAGUUGGACGGACGAAGCAACCAUCAUUUCACUCUUCUCUCUCAGCUUCCUCUCUACCCAACCCUUGCUUCUGCCUCAUCUUGUUCCUCAUUUCUUCAAGAAAACCCCGACCUGCUUCUGCCAUUAUUCUUCUCUCCCAAAGAAGGAAAGGUGAGCGCAUCAAUGGUGUUGAUUCUGGACAAGGCCCGGUUUUGCAACCCCGAGACUGAUCCUAUAACUCCCUCUCUUUUCUUCUUUUGGGUUUGUGAUUAUGGUUUCUUUUCUUUUAUUUCUAUUUGACAGUUUCUUGAUGGACACUGGAGCACCGGCCGUAGUGAUGUCUAUGGCUCCGGCCAAAACCGUCGAGGCUCAUGGUACGAAGAAGCGCAAGCACCCCACUGAGACUACCGCAGACAAGCUCAAAGCCAUCGCCCUGUCCAAGCCCCCCUCUCCAGGAUCCCUCAUUAAGCAAGUCCAGGUAAUAUCUCUUCUUGACGAUCUUUUUCUCGAUCUUGAUCGUGUUUUUUCAUCUAACACGCAGUACUAGUACUAGUAGUACAACUUUCUGGGUGAUCUUGCAUGUGAUUUUUGUGUGCCAAAUGAUGGUUCUAAAUUCCUCUUUUGACCAAAACAUGCAAGAGGUUGACACUGAUUUCUUAUAGAUUACUUUCAACUACUCCCUCUGUCCCAAAUUUCUUGUCUUAGAUUUGUCUAGAUACGGAUAUAUCUAAUACUAAAAUGUGACUUGAUACAUCCGUAUCUAGACAAAUCUAAGACAAGAAUUUUGGGAUGGAGGGAGUACUUUAUGAACAUCAAUGCUACCUUUUAAGAGGGUAUAUUUGCCUCAGUAACUUGUAUUAUGGAUUUUGCAUGUAAUCCCUCUGCUCUCAUGCCUUUGAAGACAUGUUCUAGUGUCUUUGUUCACUCAUUUCUGUGCGUAUAUGUAGUCAUAUAUGGAGUAUAAUAUCGAAAAUCAUCUUAUAUUUCUGAACGGAGGUAGUAAUAAAAUAUGGUUUCUAUUUGAAUUAGAACCAGGUCCGCGGUGGAGAUGAAGUUCUCAAAGUCAUGCCGUGUGAACUGGAAGACCUGAUGAUGAGUUCUACUGCUGAACUAUCCAGCUGCUGUGUCCUUGUCGCCACGUGUCCUGAACUAGUGUUUUCCUGUAGCAUUGUUGUCAGGCGUGUUCUCGAGGCUGUACUUGACCACAACAAUUUCCUGGCUGUGCCUUCGAUUACGAAGGGUGUGGUUCUUGUAAAGCUUCCCAACAAAUCUGAUGCGGCCUGUCUUCAUCAUCAUGUUUAUGAGUGGAAAGACCACUCUGUUAGGUUCUCCAAGGUUGACAAGAUGGUGAUGGUGCGUGUAGACAUCUCACACGAAGUCCAUGGCCUAGUCAGUUAUGCAGGGUUCAUCCCGUAGGUCGGUGGCAAGAAAUAGUCUGCAAAGUUUAGUUAGUGCAACUUUGCUUGUCUGUAGUAAGUACUAUUGUUCAGUACUUGAUUUGUGUUUGUGAAUCCUGUAUUGUUUAUUAGUACUGCCGCUUUUGGUGUGUGGUCAGUCCUGAGAACGGUCUAUGUUAAUGUCUGUCCACUCAAUUCAGUCUGUAUAUUUUGAAGUAUCCAGAUCAUAUUUUUUGUGAGGACGGUUUAUCAAUUAUGGUUACACUCCAAUAUCUGUAUGCAUUACAGGGUUUAUCGCACCCACCAGGAUUUCUAGUCCCAUGGAUGUUCGGUCCAUACGAUUUGUCACGACCUUUGGACUGUCCUGCUUGUGGGAGUAGGCAGGGCCCCUGCAUGCCACGCGUAGUUGGACGAUCAAUCUUCUGUUUAGUACUUCAACAUAGUGAUUUCCUGGUAAGGAUUCACUCAUGUCACAUCAAGUAAAUCUUAUUGAUUACUGUCUAAAUCUUAUUGAUUUAAUGUCAUGUUUUCUUUCUUUUCCUGCAAUUUUAUGAUGCAGGUUUUGCCAUGUGACAUUCAUCACAGAAUAAACCGUUUGGUUUGCUCUACGAUGGCUAUUUUUGCAGGUUUCACUUCUUAUGUUGUGUCAGUAACGAAGGCACUGUCCAUGACUUAUAUUACUGGAAAAAUUGGAUUAGUCUGUUGUCUGAGUACAAGCUGAAUCCCUAUGAUGAACUGUAGUUUGGUUUAACAAAAACGCCACAAUUAGUCCUUCUCGCGUUUAAAAGAAAUGAAGAAAAAAACUGGAUCACGGUCACGGAUCCUAGUCAAGUUAGAAAGCUGAUCAUAGCAGACCAGACACGAUCGCCGCUGUCUCGCACAGAUCGAGCACCGACAGUUGCUCUAGCACUAACAGCGGCAGCAGCUUAGUCUGGUCCAGCUGAGGAUUGGGCACCGACCGUGUCGGCGGAUCAGUCUGAUCGGGCAUCGACACCGGCACCUGCUCCGACACCGGCACCAGCUCUACAAGGAGCACCAUCUCCGGCAGCAGCAGCGGCUUCGGCACCUGCACCAACGCUUGCACUUGCAUCUGCUCCGGCCCGUGCAGUUGCACCGGCAACAGACUAGGCUGCAGUUCGCACUUCAUAUACCAAAGUCCUUACAAAAACCGACAUGUCCACCUUCUUGGUAAGCAUUGGCCGCCCAAGUGCUUCGUUCUUUUUUCUUUCCAUGUUGUUUCACAUGAUUCACUGUGUUGAUCUCACUGUUUGGUUAUGUCUUCUUGUUUGCAAACAGAGAAUUCCUAGAGCAACGAGGGAGUCAUUCAACAAUCCGGGCGACCGCGGCCAAGUUUCUCUUACCAUGCGCAGCCUUGGUGUGAAUGAACCUGCUCAAUAUACCGUAAGUACAAAGGAUGGUCGCAUGAUGAUUGAUGCUAAAGGAUGGUCAAGGUUCAAAUCUAAAUCAUAUCUUGCAGUAGGGGAUGAUGUCAAAAUCGAACUUUCUCGGCAAGGAGAGCUGGUCCAAAUCAACUUUGAAAUUAGCAGCACGCAACCGCCGAACUAAUCUAUCCUCCGAGAGAUUUUGAUGUAAUAAUCUGGCAUGGUGAAACAAGUGUCCUGUGUGUAUAAGUAGUACGACAGUAUUAUUUAUCACAUGGUAUAUCAUUGAUAGAAUUGCAACUCUGAUUGCUGGUUAGGAACUGUCGUUCGAUUUCAUUCCAACAGCUGUUGUGCUUUAUUCAAUUUUGUGUAUACGCCUUGUGAGAGCAUCUAAAACCAGCACCGUACCGGUCGCUUGCAAUAUGAAAAGCGCUGAGGUAGAACACAUGGGCCCCCAAACAUGCAGGGUCGGCCUGCGGCCCAAAGUCCAGAACCGUGAGCCUAUCUGACUAUUAUAUUCUCAGCUGAACCCCCAUAAAAAAGCUGAACCCCCAUAAUGCCCGUGCGUUGCAGAGGGAGUAUAUUUCUCGGCAAGGUGAGCCUGUGAUAUAAAAGAUUUAUAUAUUUCUUUACAGCGGGAGUUUCUCUCUGUCAAAAUAUAUAUUUAUGUGUAACUAGUUACUCCUGUCUUUCUACUUCCUUUUGCUGAUAUGUGGGGCAACCAGCAACGGGGUCCACGUGCCAUAUACACAAAUUAGAGUGCACAACUUCACGGUAGACACACCCCGAUCGUAGCACCGCAGUAAUGCCCAAUGAGCCGUCAAAUCACAACCACCCUUUCCAGCUUUAGUAGUAAGCUGGACGGACGAAGCGGAAACAUUUCACUAGGCCUGAAUCCCCUUCUCCCUCGUCUGCUUGUUCAGAGAAAACCCCCUCUCGGCGAUUGCAUAGGGUUUUCUCAUGGAGAACCAGGUACGAAUUCUUCAUCCAUCCCCGAUAAACCCAAGUCCCUUGGUCGCAGGUAAUCCUAGGAUGGUAGCCGCCGCCGUUGAUGCGUUUUUCUUCCUACUGAAUCUAGUGUGUUUCAUUUGCAGUGCCCAAAGUGCGAGUACCCUACAGGUUUCUGCGCCCUCGGCGAGACGCCACACUUGUUCCUUCUCAUCCUAACACAACAUUUUGAAACACGCAUAGUAUGUUCCUAGAAUCCUCUUUUCUAUCCGGGAGGGUGGUUUUUUUUUGAAUAUGCUGUGUUCUCAUAUUAUUUUUCCUGCAAUGUAUUAUUUGCUCUGCCAGAACACAUGUACUCAAGAUGCUCGGCCUUGCCAUAACUGAAUACACUAGUUUAAUGGUCACAGUGAAGACAAGCCAUGGAUAUAAGUUCCGAGUUGGGUUCAUCAACCAAGAAGAUUGCUGCUUUUUUAUGGCCGAACUUGGAUAAACUUUCUCAAGUGUUACAGACUGAAAGUUGGCGCACGAAUGUUGAUGGAAAUAGAAGAACCUGGUCUCAUCUUCACUGCGAUCUUCCACCCCGACGUCGUUCCAAUUGUUCGUCGAUGUUAGUUUUGUAUCUGGUUCUUGCUUGUUGCCUCGAUUACUUCUUAAUCCACCUAUUCUGUCUAACUAAUCACAAUUUAACUUUAGAAGUAGCAACGAAUCUCUCACGAAGAUGCUACUUCUAACUAAUAUUUUCUUAUAAUUGGUGGCACGUGUAGGUUUUUUCAGAGUUAAGCAGUCUGCUCGUUUAUUACUCUGUAGUAACUCGGCUGUUACUAAUGGCACUGAAGUUGACUGGAUCGACAUCCACAAGUUCCUACACUUUAUUGAUCGUGUUGAGGUCCUUGUGGGGCGUUUCAAUGGUGGAAGGCCACGUGGGAUAUGUGUGCCACUGCUGCACUCGUUGAACAGGUCCAACUGUGUCGAGAAACUUAUGGUACGAGCUGUUUUCUGUUAUAUAUGUUGUUCGUAAACUAUUGCUUAUACACAGUUUUACAGCUAUGAUCUUCUUGAAACAGGAACUGCCGAAUUCUAUUGUUCCUGUACAGAUGCCUGACCAUGGUCGGGUCAGACUUGCGCUUGGUCACAACAUGAUGUAUAUGUCGACCUACUCAAUUCCCCAUGGAGGUGAAAAGAUACUUAUUCAUGGGUGGUCUCAAAUAAUGAAGACCCGUCCAUCUUGGAGAAUAGGACAGAAGAUUAUGUUCAUGCUUCUCCAUGGCUCUAAAGCGAAUAUCCUAUUUAUUGACCAUGUUGCGAGAUGAAGCCGCUUUCAGAAGGUUGUGGAUGCGCGGGGUGGUGCCUGGGCCUUGUCCUGGGGCUUGGCGGCCUCACCCUUGGUUAACUAUAGGCAAAGUAGCACUGUUUGAGGCAUGCUUUGUACGGUUGAACCUGUAUAAGUACUCAUACUGCUUUCAGCUUUGGUUGUUAAGUGCCCCUGCUGGUUUCAGUUAAGGUUGUUAAGUACUCCUGCUGCUUUUACAGUCUGUCGUGUUUCUUCAGUCCUGUCUUCAUCCAGCCUCCAAAACCAAACCAGCGCCGGCGGGGCCGCCUGCUUCCGCCUCCCAUGGUUGGAUGCGCCUCAGAGCACGCAUCGCCGCCCCACCGUCUCCUAAAUCGUUAACGCCGACCUCCUCUGCGCGCUUUGGUGCGCUCGCCGUGGCGCCGCCCUCUCGUGUUGUCAACAUGGUCAACAAACAACAGGAAUCGGAAGAAGUACGUGGAGAGGAUGACAGUAGGGGCCCACCACGUCAGCGUAUGGAAAAAUAAAAUGCUUCCUCCUAGUGUUUUCCUGACAUCUGGGAUACACGACACUGUGAGCGUAUAUAGUCAAUAGACAAGAGAACAACACAAGAUUGGCUGACACCUGGGACGUAGCUACUCGAGCAGUAUUUUUUUUGUUUGGUAUUGUUGAGUCAGAGCAGGGUUUGAACUGGGCUGUGGCCCGUCUAGCCCAGACUUAUAUUUUAUGUUCACCAUGUGACCAGCCCAGCUAUUUUUUCUUUGUGAAAAUGAGCCCAGUUUAUUUUUUCUGAAGAAUACCCAAUCCAGGCCUACUUAUUUUUCUACGCCUUGAUGGGCUGCAACUCUUUCAAGACGCCUGCAAAUCUUGAAAGUAAUAUGAAAUGGGUUGUAAAUAUAAAAACAGAUGACAAAUUAGCAAUUACUUUAUAAUUUCUGAAUUUUAUCACAUUUUCAGAUUCCUAUUUCACUGCGCAUUAACCUAAUUUAAAUAUAUCUUCAAAGUACUUUAAAUCUGGCUCGACAUUUCAGUAUUAAAAAUAGUUUGGAACCCACAGAAAUAUGCGAAAUUGGCCCUGGCCAACCAAAAAAAAACGACUGCAAUAAAUUGCAUAAGAAGUUUCCAUGAG
rnacentral:lncRNA from 1 species